rnacentral:lncRNA from 1 species
AAAAAAAAUUGUUUUAAACAACAAAGCUUAGCCAAAUACAAUUUAUAUGGAACAAAUUAUUAUGUGUCUUUCAAAAUGAUAUUUUAUAAAGAACUAUUUUUUUAAAAAAAUAAAACCCCGUGAUAAAACAUGAUUAGUUUCUUAAUUACAUUUUACCUUUGGGGCGCGUACCACCCAAACAAAUCUCUGCCGACUCAUCUCCAAGCCGUGAGCCACUUCUGUCAUUUGCUCAAACGACAGCGUUCCACCGCUCCCAAACGACACGUAGAUCACCGACUCACUGGGUUGCUUACUCAACCAAUUAAACAACUCACUCGAACCGCCUUUCUUCGAACCGGGCUGCCUCACGAUUGGUCCAAUAGAGUAAACCGGCGGUGAGAUUUUACCCAACAGAUUCCGGUCGUUUAAAGAUGCGAGCGUGCGAUCUUGCAACUCAUCCCACGUGUUAACCAAAACGCCGUCACUCGAUGCUAUCCCCAUCCCCAAUUUCAAGAUUUCGAAAUAUUGCUGUUCGGUCCGGUCCAGAAGUGGGUCGAUAACAUCGCAUGGCCGAACCGAUUCGCAUCCUGGGAUUUGAAGCGGUUCUUUCUGGUCCACGUACUGGCCAACGAUCUCCCUGUCCCACACCUGAGCGUAAACCAUGACGGCUAAGAACCAUGCAUUGGAGGCAACGAACGCGUAUUUCUUCAUGUCGAACUCGUCCGCGACGGCGAAGGAUUCGAUGGAGAAGAUGUCAGCAAUGAGGACGGAGGGAGGGGAGGUCAUGGCGGAGACCGCGGAGCGGAGUAUCGGGACAUGGCGGCGCAUGGUGAUGGCGAGGCGGCCGACAACGGAGGAUUCAGUGACAUCAGACAUGUCGGCGGGAGGAAGUUCGACAACGGUGAAGAGACCAGCUGCUUGGGCGGCGGCGAUGACUUUGUUUUCGGCGGAGGAGGAGCGGGAGGGGACGAUGAAAACAGUGACGGUGAGACGGUGGCGCGUGGAGAGGCGCGUGGCGAACUCGAGUGCGGGGAAAAGAUGGCCCAUUCCGGGGCUGGAAAUAAGAGCAACAUGAGCUGCGGAUUCCAUGGACAGAGGAAGAACUGAGAAAUGAGUAAUAAUUAGAAACAAGAGGUUAUGGGUGUGACUUUGUUGUAUAUGAAUGUGGUAUAUAUAUUGCCUUGGAUGUGGUAGGUUGAGAUGAUUGAGGGUAAAUCGAAUAAAAAAAUUGCUUUCAUGCAAUUCCAAAAAAAAAUGUUACGAAAUUAAACACGUUACCAAAUCGCCUCUUAAGCAAUGACAAAAAGACUAAUAGUGAUUAAAGAUUGACACGAAUUUACGUGUCGAACAAAAUAAUAACAGUAUUAUUACAUAGAAUAUUUUUUCAUAAUACAGUAUAAACCUCACUAGAUUAGAGAGUUUUAAACUCCAAUUUUCUUUAGACUAAUGGAUUGUGUUCAAAGCACCCUCAACGAAUUCAAGACAAUCCAAUAAAACAAAUAAAUGAAAAGGAAAAUUUAAAGCAAAUAAAAAUCAAUUAAAACUACAUAGUUUAUUAACAAUGUAUUAUUAACUAUGUCUACAAGUGUGAGUAUAACAAAAUCUUUUUUUUUGUAAGUUAAAAGCAACAAGAUAUAGAUUUAAAAGGCAUUUCAAUAUUUGCUUCUAUGCAUCACAUCAAAUUAUUUAAUCAUAAGUUACACCUUGAUUUCGUAUAUAGGAAAUGGUUGAAAAGAAAAUUAGUUAAAGUAUUUUACUCGGCAAAACUAUAAAUAAUAUAUAAAUCAUUGCUAAACUUUAUUAUUUGUUAUAAAAAGUACUUUUAUUCCUUUAAGCGUAUCUACAUUUUUUUUAUACCAAUUUGAGAUAUAAAAGGUGUGUGGGAAUGAACUGUGGAAUAAUGUGAGUGUUUAAUUUGCAUUUCCAUUUCCAUUUUUUUAAAUUCUAAGUUCAAUAUUCUAAUUAAUUUUUAUAUAUAUUCCAAUAUUAGUUUAGAUUCAUUUAUGGAAAGCCUCCAUAAUGUUAAAACUUUUGAAAGGAAUUGGUUUCUUUUAAACCAAAGACAAAGUUCACACGUGAGUUUUGUGUUUUUGGUAGGUUUUUGCCAUUUAACUUUUUGUUACCACUUAUUUCAGUAAGGAACAAAUUUAUGUCGUAAGAAUAACUUCCUCUACGUUGAAAGAAAAUCGAUAAAGUAUUUAAAAACAAAAUAAAGAAAAUGUGUGAAAAGAUGAAAGAAAAACAUGCAUAAAAGUAUCAUCCAUCUUAACCACAAAUCUUUACUUACAAAAGAAGCGAAAGGAGAUAAAGUUAAACAAGCAAAAAAGGCAAUUUAGUAGUCGUCAGUCAAAUAGUGGACUCGAUUGUGUAGAUAUAUUAUUAGUGAUUGAGUAAAAUAACAUGACAAUAUAUAAUAAGAUUUUUAACUAGAGAGAAACGUCAGUAUAUGUUAGCCUCAAUAAAACAUGAGGUAAAAAACACAUUAAGGUCAUAUGGAGUGUGUAGUAAGGAGAGAGUCAGUUUCAUCGCACCUACAAAAUCAAAAUAGUGUGGUAGAUAGAGUAGUUUGUUGAACAAGAGACAAUAACGUGAAUCUCAUUUUCAAUAUUAGUAGGAUAUUAUCUCAUUUGAACAUAUAUAGCACUGAUACCUUCAUAUAUAGUUAAUUAAUUUGUUGAGAAGGUGUGAUGUAGAGAAACGACAAAUAAUAAUGUGAAGUUAGAAAAAGAAACGAGUUAUGCAUGUGAUGAAUAAAAUUAUAGAAGGUACAUAUAAUUAAAAUUUAAUUAUAAAAUUUUGAAUUGGGAGUGAAAUGGGAACACAAUGUGAUAAAAGAGAGACAUAGUUGAAGAAGAGUUGGUCUGGGGUUGUGGUGGUGAACCGGUGAACCGGUGGUAGGUAGGAGAAGCCGAAGUUAUGUGCCCUAAUUUUUGUUGUUUAUUCUAAUUAUUAUUGACUUUUAUUCCAAUGGUUUUUUACUAUAUGCUCCCUCUCUAUUUUAAAUUAUUCAAAGUACAUACACAUAUAUAUAAUAAUGAUAAUAAUAAUAAUAAUAAUUUCCUCUUAACAAAAAGAAAAAAACAAAUAAAAAAAGAAUUUUAAACCUUUAGUAAGUUUUUUAUUCACGUUCCGAAAUCAAAAUAUAGUCCAAUGAACUAAAAUACUAAGAGAUUAACAAAGUUUUAGAUUCUAUUUAGAUCUAUUGUUUACCGAAUUUGAAAUUUUUGUUAUAUUGGGUAAAUUAUUUUUAACUAUUGUUAGGAUUUAAUCUACUUAUCUUCAACUCGUGGUGUUAAAAAAACCACUAAAUUGUAUAUCUAUAAACACGUAGAUGUAGGUACAUAGACACAUGUAUAUAUUCCUAUUUUGUUUCAGUAUUUUUGAUUUAAAAUAUCAUUGAAUUUUUUAAAGGGUAAAAAAUGUUGUUACAUGUUUAAAAAUACUACUACACAGUUAGUUUUAAAUAGAAACAAUUAAUAAGUAUUUACGACAUGCAUCAACUUCACAUUAGUGUUUAAGGUUAAAAUUAUAAUAUAUAGUUAAUGUUUCUAACUAUUCUAACUAAUAAUUAAUUACAAUAUUUCAAAUUUCAAAUUUUUGUAUUUGUUACAAUGUUUACUAUUUAUUGUAGUAUUAAUUAUUUUCUAUGCAUGCAUAUUAUGUCUUUUCCUAAUUAUUACUGUUUCUCUAUUGUUUUAUAUAUCUACACUAAAAUAGUAUACAGUCAAACACAAACUAUUAUAAUUUAAACCAACAUAAUUUGCAUCCAAAAUAUAGAUUAUUAUAACUUACAAACUAUAACAACCAAUUCAACGCCGCAAAUGUCAUCUCUAGCUUUUUGUUUCAAAAGUUAUCUCUAACUUUUCAAAAGCAGUAAACACAUUAGGUUAAAAAAUACAAAAUACACAAAAACUUCAAGUUAAAACUAAUUUUUCUAUGUAUAAUAUAUCCAUCCAAUUACCACACUAGUGUGAUGAGAGAUCUACAUUGGCUAGAUAUAAUUAGGCUUUUUGGACUGUAAGAAAGUCAUUAAGACCUUCAGUAGAUUGAAUGAAGGUUUAUUAUACCUAACGUUUUGAUUCACACGUAACAAAUCUCUUUUUAUAUCAAAGACACAAUCAAUGAUGAAUGAGAGGUAGUUGUUGUGAUUUUAGUUAAUGGUUGUGGUUGUUUAAUUGGUUUAGAAGAAGGUUUUGGUGGGGUCUUUCACGUGCUAGGAGAAUUGAAAUGAGUUGAGUUAAUAAGUUUUGGAAUUAGUAUUUUGGAAUUAUAGUAAAUUAGUGUUUGAAAUGUAGCGUUAUAAAAUCACGUUUUUCGAUAAUGGUAAAAAAUACAUAUUAAAACUAAGAUUGAACUUAUUGUAUGUUAAAAUAUACAUACAAAAAUUAAAAGAUAAAGUAACUCAAUAAAUGUUUAAAGUAAUUAAAGACUGUUUGCAGAGUGUUACCACUAUAAUUUAAAAUUAAAAAAAAUUAUGACUUAAAUAUUAGACAUCAUUUUAGUUUUGUAUCUUUUUAAAUAUCAAAUUUGGAUCUCAUACUUUUCAACUUUCUUUAAAACAACUGUUUUAGUUUCUAUGUUUUGAUAGGAUGGGAAGUUUAACUAUAUCAUUAACAUCUUAAAAUGUGUACCACUCAAUUACAAAAAUUUUAGACUUUAUAAAGAGGUGAGAUGAUUAAUAUAUAUAUAAAAAAUGAGAAUAGGACAAUUAAGAUAUUGUUUUUAAAAUUGGGGAUACCCUUUUGGAAAAUUGGCCCCACUUUGUGAGUGAAAGAAAAGAAGAUUUAAAAUUUUGGGAAUAUAACACUUUGAAAAUGCGGUCAGGCGGUCAGCAGGGAAGACAACAGCUGGGCAAUUAUAAUGUUUAGAAUAAAAGCUGCCCGAUUAUAUUAUAUUUGAAGAGAAAUUUGCACCACUCCACCGUAUCCUCUCAUUAAAUAUUACAUUUUAGAUUAAAGUAUUUAUUUUUGUUAAUCUUAUUUUAAUAUUUUAGUGCAUUCACUUGAUUUUAUGCUCAAUUACAGAGACACCCGUAGUAAAGAGAUUCUUUUACUCACGUAUUAUCUUAUCAAAAUCCAUUUUAAUCCGGAACUUAAUAUCAAGCGUUAUCCAUCAUUUUCGAUUUAAAACUUUAAUAUUUUUCAAUUUAAUAGAGUGUAUCAAGCGUUAUCAAUCAUUUUCGAUUUAAAAGUUUGAUACUUUUCUAUUUGAUAGAAUGGUUUCAUUAGAUAUUUAUAGUUAUUGAGGUGCUUGUGCUUGGAUUGAAAUAUUUUUAGGUGACCACAUGAACGGUGAAAUUUAAAGAUUUAUUUUGAUAAUAAAAAAAUAUUUUUGAAUUAGAAAAAUAGCAAAAGAAUUUCUAGAAUCAUUAAUUACUAUUGUAAAAAAAAAAAAUGAAAAUCACCUGUGAAAACAGAAAACUUAUUAGUCUAAAAAUAAUAUAUAUAUAUUGAAGUUUAUAAUAAUUUCGAGUUAUGGAAUGAAUAUAAUAAAAGAUUAUUUAUUUGAAUCCAAUAAUUGAUUGAUUUUUUCGGUCAUUAUUUUUUUAUUUAAGAAAGAUUUGUCACGUCAUUAUUAAUUUUAUUUUGUCAAUAUAUGAUAUUCAAUUUUGUAUCUAUGGUCAAUUUUUCAUUCCUUUGAAGUAUUGAAGGUUCACAUUUCUAUGGUCGAGGCAUGAUUAGACUUCAACAAUACUUUGAUUUUUGAAUUGAAUUUAGGAAUUGUAGAUGUUUGUCACCACAAUAAUAUUAAAUUAAUUAAAUUGUAUGGUUAGAAUUUAAUAAUACUUUGAUCUUGAGUCGAGAGAUUGCAGAGGUUGGUAAUGUUGGUCACUUGGCUUUGAUAUAUUAACAUAGACAGGUUGAAGCAUGGUUUUACACUUGGCUUAUGUACUUAUCUUAGAUUCAAUAAAUCAAAUAACUCAUACAUAAACUUUAGUCCCAUAUUAAUUGUCUUGAGUUUUUUAAAAUAACAUUUAAAUAUAUUUAUUAUAAUUUUUCUAACGUUUUGUUAUCUAAUUUUCAAGGACCAUGUUAAAAUAGAUAAAUUUUCAAAAAUAGAAUGCAAAAUAUUUAUAUUUAUAGAAAAAUCUUGUGAUUUUAUUUUAUAGAUUACGAUAAAUAGUUUGUCAAUUUUUUUUUUACUUUUGAAAGUUUUCAUUUAAAAGAUCCCUGUUCACACGAGUUGAAAGUUUUUAUUUAAAAAAUCACUGUUCACACGAGAUUUUGAAAGGAAUGUAUUUCGUGGAAUUGAACUUUGAUAUAUUGAUGAAUAUUGAAUAUUGUGAAUACAAUCUCUAGUAUUUACUUAUUUGAUGUUUUCCCUUGAAUACAAAUUAAAAACUUAAAACUUCUUGGUUUUCGGUAUUCAAAAUGUUUUAGUUGCAAGUCGAUUUGAACUUCAAUCUUCUAGAAUUUAAGAAUUUAAGAAAAGUUUAAUCUUCAAACUCUUCAAUCUUUCAGAAGCCGUUGAUCUUGAGAUUGAUACAAAUUUGCACGUUUUGAGAGCUUGUAGAAGUUUGAAUAUUCAAAUUUUCAGAGCUUCAGUACUUCAGAGUUUCAAUUAUUAUUUCAACCAAAAACCCCUCAAAGUUCUCUAUUAAUAGAUAAAUUUUAUGGCCUUUAGGUGGACUUUGACUCAUUUUCUUAGUGGGCUUGGACUUGGGCCCAUUUGCUUGUUGGGCUUGGACUUAAGCUCAUUUUCUUAGCAGGCUCGGUCUCCAUUGUUUGACCCGAUUUUUCAUCAGGGGCUUGCAUUGGGUUGGCUAUGAGAAAAUUGAUUACCCACAAUCCAAUCAAAUUAUAGUCAUCACGUUUUGUUGUGAUGACGUGAUAAAAUUUAAUUGGCUAAAAUUUCUUGCUCACCAAACACACCAAAAUUUAUAGCUAAUUCCAUGAUUUAAAAAAAAAUGGUAAUUUUAUUUUUUCAAAAUUUCGUUCAUAAUUGUUGUUUCAAAGAAAAAAAAGCUAAUUAGUUAUAAAACAAACUCAUCACUUAUUAAAAUCCUAAAAAAAUUGUUUUUAAAAGCUUUUUUCUUAAAUAAUUGUUUUUUUUUUAUAAAUAAUUUAGUUGAUAAUUCAAUCUAGAACCUUUUUAAAAAUAGUAAAAUAAAUUAAAAUAUUUAUAAACUUUAGAUUAUAUCAAUGAUAGUUAUCACUACAACAUAUAUCAGUAACUAUCUAUGAUAUAAUUUGUAACUAUUUUAUAAAAUUUUUAUUUUUGAAAAUUCUCCAUCAAUUUAUGUAUUUACAAAAUAUGUAAAUCAACGGACGAAAUAACACUUAUUUUAAAAUUUUAAAAUGAAAUUUUAAUAUGUAUUUUUUAUUCUCAAUUAUUGUAAAUUGUGCCUUUCUUUCCCAUGAUUUCAUAUUUUCUAUAGAGACUGUUUUUUUUUUAUUAAAAAAUGAAAAAAAAAAAUAGAACUAUUUGUGUGGUUUAAUAUUUUUUGUUCUAAUUUUGAAAAAACUCUAAAUUGUAAUGAACAAAACAUAGAAAGCAAUAGCUUGGAAUAAAGUUGAUGGCUCAGUUUUUAAAAGACUGAAAACCAAAAGUGUUAUCAAAUGGAGUUUAAAUCUUACCCUUCAAGUUUAGAAAACCAUUCAAUUUGAUCUUUAAUUUUUUUUAUUAGUUAAUGACAACAUCAACUAUAAGAUUUCUUAAACCCAAAGGGAAAAGUAUAUAUUUGGUCCCUAUAUUUUUUUGUUAUUUAACUUUCAUUUAGUUUAAAGGUUUUUCAAAAUAAUACACAUUUACUAACGGCAAUUUUAGAGUUAAAAAAAAAAAGAAGUAAAAUUGUGUAUAUCGGAUAAAAUAGUUUGAACUACAAAAUUAUUAUUAUUGUAAAAAACGAAAACUGGAAAUUGACAUAUAAUUCAAUCAUUAAUCUUUAAACCUCCGAACAUAAUAAAUUGGCAUACAAUAUAAGAAUUAAUAACUUCGGUCAUCUUAUAAAAAAAUAAAAAAUUUAGAUCGAAAUAACUAAUGUUCAAAUAAAUAAACUUGCUUAAAUUAGAUAAAACAAUGGAACUACGUCCAAACAACGUAAAAUUUGACAAACAUAUUGCAAUAUCUUAAAAGUUUAGAAUCUUCAAAAAUGGAAAUGAAACGCAUGAUAAAAGAAUUAACAAAUGUUGUAUAUUUAUAGAUCGAGUUGGGGACUAUACAAACAUUUUGCUUUUCCAAAUUCACAUUUUUAUUUACAAUUCUAACUUAAUUAGUAAUUACCAAAAAAAUUAAAUAAAAAUUAUCAACAGUAUAACAAAAGACUAAGAUAUUUACAUAGUGUAACAAAAUAAAAAACCUCACGAUGUCAUACAACUUUUUAAUGUUUCAGGUUUGUCAUUUCUUUUCAUAUUUGCAAUUUUUCUUUUACUUUCUAUCAUUAUUUUCUCUUAUUCUGUCAUUUCGUUUUCAAACUCUUAUAUGAUUCAAGAUCGUAUAUCAAAUGUAAUUUUUUUAAAAUGAUUGGAAUAUUGAUACACAAUCGUCGUUUAGAUUUCAAACCUAAAUGUGUACCAAUAAUAACUAAAUUUAAAUGAUCAUGUACCAAAUAAUAACUAAUUUUAAAUGAUCGCAUAAGAAAUGAAUAAUUCAUCGUAGUCGGAUUCAAUUUUAUAGUAUAAUGUCCAAAAUUGAAUGAAAUUUAAGAUUAAGAAAAUAAUCUAAUUUUAAUCCUAAGCCGUUAGCUUUAUUUAAACCAAAAAACUGCAAGAGUAUACUAUAUUACAUUUAAAUUACAAAAGGACAUAUACAUGAUUAAUGAAAAAAUGGGAGUGGAAUCUUGUCUAAAAUGUUUUUGUACGAUUAUGAUCAUAAGAAUUAUGAUAUUAUACUAUUAUUAUGUAAUUUAAUAUAUGAAACUUUAGUUUAGUAAUGCAUUAGUUAAAUAAAUACACACAAAUAAAAAAUAAAGCAUGAAUUAAAACAUUGGGUAAAUUUUGUUUCUCCAAAAAAAACUCAUAUUUAUUUGUUUUCUAAAAAAAUAUUAUUUUAAAACUAUCUUUUAAGUGUUUAUCAAAUUCUCUGACUUUUGAAAAAGACUUUUUUUAACUAAACAGUUAAUGACAUAUUCCAAACACAUUUUUUUUUCUAAAAUGUUUUAGUUUCAAAUUUCAUCCAACCCAACUAAGUAAUAUUGACCAAUUUUGGUAGUCUAAGAUGCACGUAUCAAAUAUAUGAACAACGUUGAAUAAAAUCUCAAAGCAUUUUGCAUAUUCAUCGAUUAACUAAACAUAUUUUUAUCGUUUUAUUUAUUCACGUGGACAAGAGAAUUUUAUUUUUCUCUAUUUCUUUUACUUUUUACGUUUAUCCAACUCUAUUUUUCUACUUUUUCUCUCUUUGCAUUUAUAUUUUACACGUAUUUUAAUUAUUUUAAUCAUGUAUUUGUUUAGAAAUAAGGUAAGAUGAGAUAAAACCGAAAGGAGAUGUAAGCAUAGUAAUGGAAGAUGAAACCCCUACUUUGUUACUGAUAAUGGGAGCACGAGAGAAAAACACUUGCAAGAGAGUAACAAUACACACUGGAUUUCAUCUUUACACUUGACAGAAUUGGUGGAGAAAUCUUAGGGAAAAAGUUAAUUACAUGAAAUGUGGGCCUUCAUGAAGCCCUUCUAAGUUCUUAAUUGAUACCUGGGCUUUCAUGAAGCCCUUCUAAGUUAGACCUUGAGCAAGCUUCAUAGUAUCUAUCUAUCUACCUACAUUUGUCUCAACUUGGCUCUUUGAAGAGUCUAGAACAAUUUUCUUUUUUGAAUCUUCUCUCAUUCGUCAAUCACUUCUAACAAGUAAGGAUCAUCUUUUCUAUUUUUUUGUAAUCUGUAAUCGCUCUCUAGGUUGCCUUUGUGGGUGUUAUUAUAAACUCAACGUUGAGUUCAAAAUAAAAUUUAUAAUAUACGCGAUGGUAAAAAGUUUAAAAUUUUAAUGAAUACAAAUCACAAUAUAAAAAAACUUAAAAGUUAGAUACAAGUAUUAUUUUGAUCCAUACAUUAUUGUAAGACUUAGAUUAGAAAGGAAUUAGAUUUUAGUUUAUAUACUUUGAAAGAAUUUUAGUGAAGGUAAUUUCAAUAAACAUUAAAUUUAUAUCUCCUCGAUUUUAGUUGAUUCAUAAUAAAUACUUUUUUAUUGUUAACUUUCAACAUUAAAGUACACAAUGAAAAAAGGUAUAUAAAAAAAUAUUAUUAAAUUAAAAUAUCACUUUUGUUUAUAGUUCAAUUUUAGUUUAUAUAUUUUUAAUGAUUCAAUUUUAAUUAUCGUAUUUUCAAUCAAUUUUAAAUUCACUCCAUUAAAUUUAAAUUUUAUGGAAACUUAUUUAAUAAAAACAAUAAUUUUAACGUAAGAAAAUACAAUUUACAAUAUAAAAAUGUGAUAGAUAAGGAUUUUUUUAAAAAAUAAUGUGUUUUGUAAAAGUAUUUACAAAAAUAGGGUAGUUGGGAAAGUAUUUUAAAAAAUAGGUGACUGAAGUCGUGUACGGGGUACACGACUUCAACAAAUCGAAAUGGUGUCGUGGACCGGGCUUACGAUAUCCGAGUGGAGUCGUGGACCCGGGCCACGUUUUCUGACUGGAGUCGUGUACGGGUACACGACUCCCGUACAGCUGACACAUUUUGUCGCGUAUUGUGGAAGUCGUGUACCCCGUACACGACUUCCGUACAAUGAGUCAACGGUCAACAGUCCAAUCAACCAUAGGGUUCAUCCAUUUUUCCUUUCAAACUUUCUCUUCCUCUCUUCACUUUUCCUCUUCUAUUUCGUCAUAAAUGUAUGCUUUUCUAAAAAUCGUGGACACAAUUUUGUUGUUAAAAUUAUUUUAUUAAUUAUUUUAUUUUAUUAUUAUGUUGAUAAAAUAAUUUAUUUUUUGUUGUAAGCUUCUCCUAUUAUUUAAGUGUUUUUAAAUUUUGCUAGAACUUAUUCAAGUUGUAUAAAUAAAAAAUUGAACUUUUUUAAAUUAAUUAUAAAUUAGAAGUUGCUAAUACAUGAUUUAGAUGUAGGAGUAUUCUUAAUAAUAUCAAUAUAUAAUAUAUAUUUUUAAAGUAGAGAACCAAGUAUUAAAAAAAACGUUCAAAAUAUUUUUUUCUCAAUCUAUCUUAAGCCACAAGAUUUAUUUAAUAAAUUAACAAAAAUUCUUAUAAGAUAUCACUAAUGAUGUGUUUUACCUUUGGUUUAUUUUUUUAAUUUGUUCAUAAUAAAUAUAAAUUAUCAAAAAUUUGACCAUUUAAACAAAAACUAAAAUUCUCACAUAUUUAAAGUUAAACAUUUAAACAAAAACAUAAAUUUUCAACUACCCUAAUUUUGAAAAUAUUUUUUAAAACACAUUAUUUUUAAAAAAAAUCGGUCUUUCACAAAUGUUUUUACUCUAAAAAUAGUUAAUCUUUUAAAAUAUAAUAAUUUUAAAAACAAUUAUUUAGGAAGUCGUGUACCCCGUACACGACUUCCGUCCAUGUGGGUCAAACUCGUGCAUACGUGGAGCGAAGUGGUCAAAUGUGCUGACAUGUACAUUUAGGAAGUCGUGUACCCCGUACACGACUUCGUUCAAUUUCAUUUGGAAGUCGGGGUAUACGACUUCCUCCAAUUUCAAAAAAACACUUAUUUUUUAAAAUAGUUUUGGAAACAGUCUUAUUCUUAUAAUUUCUUUUCCAACAAUCCUAUUUUUCAAAAUAUUUUUACAAAACACAUUAUUUUUAAAAAAAAUCCGAUAGAUAACAAUGAAAAAUUGUUAAAAAUAUAGAAAAUAAAAUUGAACUUUAGAAAUCUUAUUAUUAUUAUUUAAUAAAUUAUAAUAAAAAAUAAUGAUGAGGCGUUAAACUAAAAUGUGGAAAGGGACUAAAAUGAUUUAUUAAAAAAAAAUGUAUACUUAGUUACCCAUAGAAAGUGGAAAAAGGAAAUAAUAGUAAUUUAGACAGUGUGUGACUUAAUAAAAAAAACAAAGAAAAGAAAGUUAAAAGAAAAUUUGAAAUUAAUUUGGAUUUCAAGCAAAAGACGUCCCGCCUCUGUGUGGUAGAAGGAAAGAAGCAUUGGCGUUGAUCUUACGCUCAAAAUCCCCAAUUUCAAAAACCCUAAUUCUCUCUCUUCCUCUCUCUCUCUCUCACUUAUCAUCUCCAUCCUUUUUCCCUCUACAUUCGCAAUUUCUAAUCCGGAUCCUUCGGUUUCAAUCCGCCGCACCAUUCUCUUCUCCUUCUUCUUCGCAUUCUCGUUCGUUUUCCUACUCAGUUUUUGAACACAAUGAGGAAAGGUACUAAAAGAAAAGCAGCUAGAAAGGAAGAGGAUAAACCUGCGGAACCUAAGCCCGACAAAGCCCCAUCUCGUGCCAAGCGGACUAAGCUCCCCAAACCCGAAUCCGAACCCGAGUAUUUUGAGGAUAAGCGUAACAUGGUAUUCUAUAUUCUGCUGUUCUUACUGCAAGAUUUUGUGUUGCAGUCUCUUUUGAGUCUUUAGCUAGUUUUGGUUGUCAUUUUGUUGGGGUUUCUUUAAUUUCUUAAAUGGGUCUUGAGUUCCCAAUGUUAUGAAUUAUUCGAUUCUCCAUUUUUUUUCAUUUUUCUUUUUAGUGGGAAAUUGAGCAGGGGAUAAUGUUGGUUGUGUCUAAGUACUGUAAUGGAUCUUUGUAGGUGGCAAAUUGUUUGUUGGGAUAGUUUCAUUUGCUCUUCUGGGUUUCUUGAAUGAUACAGUGUUAGAAAGUACGAGCUUCAAUAAACUUUUGUAUUUUGCUUUGUUAAUGAUUUACUUGAACUUGGAAAUGAAGUUUGUUUGUUUUUUUAAAAAUGUUUUUAGCAAGCUUUUGGACCCAGAUGGUUGUUUUCAGUAGUUUUGACGUUACCUGCAUUGGUGUUCUUUUUGGAAAAUUCGACUGUUUGUGGUUUGCGAAUUAAUAUUUUCUCUUGAUUUACGAAUAGCAAUUACUGAAUGCAGGAAGAUUUGUGGAAAGCAGCAUUUCCUGUUGGGACAGAGGUCUGGUGUAAACAACGGUGCUUGUAUCUUCUUGUCAGAAGUCUCAUUGUUCGGUUGCUUAUACGUUUAUGUGUUUUUUUUUAUUUCAGUGGGAUCAAUUGGACUCGGUUUAUCAAUUCAACUGGAAUUUCUCAAAUCUGGAAGUGAGUUUGAUAAUCUCUCACAGUCCAAUAGUGUUUUUUUUCCCUUUUUCGGUGAAUUUACUAUAAUAGGUGAUAUAACAUUUGCAAUUAUUGUCAGGAUGCAUUUGAAGAGGGAGGAAAGUUGUAUGGCGAGAAGGUUUAUCUAUUUGGUUGUACAGAGCGUAAGUAGCUUAGCUUGACUAAGAAUCUUAUUUUAUAUGUUACAAAUAUAUACAAGAUAACUUUAUCAAGGUCUACUAUGUUGUUCCAACCCCAUUCAAAAGUUCUCUCAUUACCUUUUUUUUUUUUGUAGUCUAUUUAUGUUGAUUACUGUUUUGUGCAGCUCAAUUGGUUCCUUUCAAGGGAGAAAAUAAAGUUAUAUGCAUACCUGUUGUGGUGGCUGUAAGUCAUUAUAUUUCUAUUAAUAUUUUUAUGGUGUCGGUUGUUUAUUAUUUUUAUACAUAAUCCAUACGCGAAUGCUUCUUGAAAUGUAUAGUUAGUGGGGUUUUGAUCUAGAUGGCAAGAAGGCCUUGGAACUUUUGCCUUUCCAUAUGUCCUUUUAUCUUUUCAUAUAUUUAGAUGGCAGGAUUAAUACUGAGAUUUCCUAGAAAAUACUUAUCGUUUCCUUUAUGCAAUGUCUCUUGCCUUUUGCCCUCUGUCAUGUCAAGUUAUAGUUUCUGAUAGUAGCCAUGUUAAUUCACCAACAACCGUAGAACAAAUAAAAUACCAAACUGAAAGAAAUUAUCAAUUAAUUUUUACUUUUCUCAGUUGUUACAUCCGCCGUACUGCCAUGGAAUUUAAAUCGUACAGCUAUUUGUUUUAUGGUUCUACAGGUUGCAUCUCCUUUCCCACCUUCUGAUAAAAUUGGCAUCAAUUCUGUUCAAAGAGAGGCUGAAGAGAUAAUUCCCAUGAAGCAGAUGAAAAUGGACUGGGUUCCUUAUAUUCCCCUGGAGAAGAGGUCUUAAUUUGUGAUUUUUCAUAGCAUCUUUUAGAUUCUAAAUAAGUUUUAUUAUUGAUCAUGCUAUCUAAUUCUUCUUCAGAGAUAGAAGAGUUGAUAAAUUGAAAUCUCAAAUAUUCAUCCUCAGCUGCACUCAGAGAAGGUACUAAUAUGACUACGAGCAUGACUCUCCACUUCUUUUUCGAUGUAGUUAUUAUUUUUGAAAUACUACUUCAACAAAAGUUUGUUUAUUACUAACCUUCAAUUGUUUUUCUUUACAAAUGACCUGAUGCUUGUGUAAAUAUUUUUGCAGAGCUGCUUUGAAGCAUUUAAAAAUAGAUCGUCUCAAGAAAUAUGAGUAUUGCUUACCCUGUAAGUUCUUCAACCAUUUGGUUGCUAAUUUCAUGAUUGAUAUUUUUGUUGCAUGAGAGGGGAAGAGCUGAAAGUUUUUGCGAAGAGAAAAUGAAAUAUCUCCUUGAUUAGAAAAAAUUAUCUCUAACUGUAAUUUUCUACCCAGGCAUUCUACUGAUUUUUAAUGCCAUCUAGAUAAUCUGACUAAUGGUUAUCAUUUAAGUCUAUAUAAGUUUGUCAUAUACAUACCUCAUGCUUUUUUUUCUUCCUUUUCUGGCAGACUUUUACCAACCCUUUAAGGAUGAUGAAUUUGAACAAAGCACUGAGGUUCCAAUUAUUUUCCCAGUAGACCCAAAGCCAGUAAGCUUUUAAUCCAUGCUGUUUUUUAAAAAAGGCUCAUGAAUGCAUAGUAUGUAGGGAAUAGAUUAGUUGAGCAUGAGCAUCUUUUUCACAAUCUGAAAUAUAUAUGCUCAUAUUUUCAGAUUUUGAUGCCCAUUUGGAUUAGGAUGAUCAUGCAAGAGUACUGCAAAAUCUAUAUGUAAGUUUAACAUUUUUGUUAUCUGCAGGUUUUCUGUGAAUUUGAUUGGGAAUUUGAUGAACUCGAGGUACAAGUUAUUAAUUCAAAUGACUGUCUUAAUUAUUACCUUUUAAUAGCAUAGGUUGCCGAUCGUUUCUGAAAGUUCUCUUUCACUGGAAAUUUCCCUAGAGUUUUAUCUUUAUGCUUUUUUUUUCAUGUGUCUUCAGGAGUUCACGGAUAAGUUGAUUGAGGAAGAAGAAUUAUCUGAAAGUCAAAAGGAUGCCUUCAAGGUAAUAGUUUGUCUAGUGUUGUAGCCACGUUACUGUUAUUUAUCUUUAUAAAAGCUUACCUGAUGACAGUUCUCGAUUUUUAGGAUUUUGUAAGGGAGAAAGUUAGAGAGGCCAAGAAAGCUAAUAGAGAGGUAAACGUCGUAGUCAUAUUGUUGUUAUACCUGUUUUGUAAUAAAGUUACAAUUGCAUACAUAUCUUAUUCAGUUUUCCUUCAGGCUAGGGAAGCACGGAAAAAGGCCAUUGAGGAAAUGAGCAAUGAAACUAAGGAAGCAUUCGAGAAGAUGAAAUUUUACAAGUUCUACCCUGUACAAACACCUGAUUCACCCGAUAUAUCCAAUGUUAAGGUAAGAUUAACUCUGCUUUAAGCCUCUCGGCUAAUGACAAGUGAGAAGUUCGAUCUUGAACUGCAUCUUUUUAUAAACCUCAUUUCAAUUUAUGAACAAUGCUACAAACUACCAACUAUUACAAAAUAUUAGAGAGCUUCUCAUCCUUUCCAAACCUGAACUUAAGGAAUAUGAUUUUUGAAGCUCACUCCUUAUCAGCUGACAUUCUCUAAGUACUCUUUCUAGCUCAUGCAUGGCAUAUAUUGUAUGCCUAUAGCUAUGAAUUAUUUACCUCUUUAACCAGUAAUCCAGUUGCUUUCCCUUCAUACUCAUUUAAGCUAAUACACAUUUACAACCGAGCAUGGUUGACCUAUUGGUCAAUAAAUAUCAAUGAAAAUUGUAAAUGACUAAAAAAAGGAAAGAGUUAAAGCCAUAAAUUCCAAUAUUUUAAUGAUACAUUCUCAACAAUCUCAAUAAGUAAUUUCCUCUCACAUGGUUUUGCCCUCAUUUUGCAAUGUACGCUAACAUUUAGGGCUUUCCAGGCUCCAUUUAUAAAUAGGUACUACGGAAAGGCUCAUGAAGUUCUGUGAUAUCUCAUACCAUGGCUAGCACAAGAUAGAAAUUGUUACGAAGCUCCACUUCGUUCCACAUCUUGCUCAACAUUCGAAGGUAUUGCUUCUGUUAUGCCAAAACUGAGACGCCAAUGCCUAUUGACUUCUUUUAUUGAUCUAGCAAGAAAAAAUGACGGGAUCUUGAGCAAUACCCUCCAAACUCUUUAGGUAGGCUGCUGUACUAUUUAGGAUCACGCUUUGUGUCUUCAAUCGUUUUUUCGUUCUUUUCUUAAAUUCUUAAUGCCGUUACCAGAAAAAAAGGACUUAGAAUCUCACUCACCUCUUAGUUGGAAUAUCUUGGUGUAAUUUUGUUAAUUAUUCCAUCAUUUCAGUUUUGUAUAACCAUAGUCUGAGUUCUACAACCUCCAAGAACAGACGUGUUCACUGCAUUGGUUUUUGAAGGAUAUAUAUAUAAAUAUAUAUAUACAUUGUUUACAACCUCCAAGAAUAAAUUCUUCUAUUAGUUUGUGUUUGUUUUCUUUGUUUCCUUCCUUACAACCAAAAAGCUAUCGUUACUUAAUAUCUUAUGCCCUUUUAUUCGCUUGUAUACUUAGAUCGUAGGAUUGAUUGUAGUGUUCUAUUUAUCAAAUUAGUUUUAGUGUUCCCUUACAAAUAUUAAUUUGGUGGUCUAUGUUACUCCUUAAACGUCCAAAAGCAUAUAUUAUUAACAUUUUUCUCUUAGCUUCAACGUCAAGCAUUGAUAUGGCGUUUUUUGGUAGCCUCAGUUUACCCACUUCAAGUUUUUGAAACUCUUAUACAAGAGUUACUAAUGAUGAAGAGCAUCCUCAUUUAUAUAGUACACUUGUAUAAAUAGAGGACAAUUGCAGUAGCAUCACUUUUUUAGAAUACAUCAUUAAGUGUAGAAAUAUUUUUGUAGAAUUGUAAAUAAACUGUGAUUAUUUAUAGACUUGUAUUAGCGGAAGUGAUAUGGUCAUAUUGAUGAUAGAUUCUAUGAAAUAGAUUUAAAUUUUGCUAUUUAUAAUUUCUUUUUGCUUUGUGCUAUAUUUAUAAAUGUUUCUAUGCUGUGUUCCUUUUGCAAACAUUUCAAUUUUCUCAAUAUCUAAAUACAUGCUAGAAGAUAUCACCCCUUUUCGAUCAUAAUAUUCAACCAAUUGAUUAUAAGUGAAGGACAACACAACAUGAUAAUUUUCUGAUUGUAUAAAAAGCAAGGACUUGCUAUAAGUAGAUGAAAGCUGCGGCAAUCUUUUUGAAUGAUUCUAGUUUAGUUCAAUAGUCUAUGGGGAAUUGAAGUGUUCAACUUUGAGAGAUAAGUAGUAUCAUUCACGAGUUACAUUCAUGUUUGACAUCAAUAUUAUACAAUACUUCAUUAAAAUUUACCCUUACCUAUGUUUGACAUUCAAUUGCAUGAAAAUAAUUUUAUUUUAUUUUCAUUAUUUUAGAGUGAUAUUACAAGUCAAAUAAUGAUUGAUGUUUUGAUUGGUUAAGCAAACAAUUAUAAAUGUAUGAGAUUAAACAUAAUAAAAUAUUUUCUAACCAGAAAAAGAAAAAAAAAAGAAGAGAAUUAGAAUGUGGUCAAACUACCAUAUAUUCCCAUAAUUGAUAACAAGAAAACUUAAGCAAAAACCAAGUAAGUACCUUGAGACCAAGAAAUUAAAUGUGAUUUAGAAUAAAGUCAAAUAGCAUAAUAUAUUGUGACAAAUGCCACUCUUACUUUAAAGUAUUCAUUCUAGAUUCAAAUCCCACGUCCCAUCACUUUUAUAACCAAAAGAAAAAAAAAGAAAAGAAAAACAUAAAAUAAAAAGAAAUCACUCUCUUCCUCUCUAAAUACCAUACACUAACUCAUAAAAAUGUAUUAAACUACGGUAAAAUCCUCCUUAAUUUAAUCUAAAAGUAAGAUCGAAAUUUAACCCAAAAAUAAAAAAGAAAGAAAGAAAAAACCAAUCUUUUUUCCCCCUCUUUAGCCUUUGAAGUUCAUGUUUAGAAUAUAUAUCUAUAUGAGUUAAAAUAGUGACUAUAAUUUGAAGUUUAGAGUUUAAAACUUUAUUUAUGAAUUUUUUUACUACUAUUUAUGAAGUUUUAUAAACUUAAUUCUAAUUUUGUAUAUUAAAAUUUGUAAUCACCAACCGGAGCUCUGUUGAAGAUGAGCCGCCAUGGCUCGAGCUCGAUUUCCUUCUCCAUUUUCAUGAACUCCAUUUAUAUUGAAACCCCUCAAAUUUUCCCCAAAUCCAACGCCAUCGAUUAUGUUGAAACUCUUCUGAUUUCCCUGAUUUUGAAUUUGAUUCCCCAAUGAAUAAAACCCAGAAUUGAAAUUCUGAAAAUCCAUCACCGAAUUCGCCGAUUUCCCUCCAAUAAUGUGUUCAGCGGCGGAUUUUGGCGGAGACAAAGAAGGAUCCUCUUGUCUAGCUAAAGAAUGUUUUUCUUCCUCUGUUUCUCUGUAUUUGUUGAGAUAAAUCUUCAAAGGGCCAACGUAAUUCUCGAACCCUAAAGUAGUCAUAGCCCACAGCAAAUCGUCUCCGUUGAUCGUCUUCCGUUUUUCCCUUUGACACUUGUCGGAGGCUUCCCCGGUGAUGAAGCUGAUGAACUCCGACACACAUUCUUGGACUGUUUCUUUAGCUUCUUUCGAGAUUUUCGCGUUAGCCGGAAGAGAUUUCUUCAUGAUUCGGCUCACGUUUGCGAUCGGAAGGAACCUGUCUUGUUCUUUUGUUGAGCUGUCGGAGAUGUUGCCGGAGGUGGGACUGCCAACGGGGCUGACGACAGCGGUGGUGGCCAUGAAGUUACGUUUCUGGCCGCUCAUGGCGAAUGGCGGAUGGGUUUGGCCGGGGAGGGUGAUGGAGGAGCGGAAUUCCGGUGGGGGGAUUGGUGGUGGUGGUGGAAAGUGGGUUUGUGUUGGGGAAUUUAAAGGAGAAGAGAUGAGAAAUUAAAUUAAAGAGGAAAGGCGGUUUGAUUUUGACAGAAAAAUGGGAAAAAGAGAAAUAUAAAUAAAUAUAAAUAAAUAGAGUAAGAUAAAAUGAAAUAAAUUAUUGGUGAUUAGAAUAAUGGCAAAGAAUGGUCUUCCAAGAGGUGGAAUCUUAAGCAUACAUUUUUUUGAGUUUGAGGCAAAUUUUAAUGUGAUUUGUACCCUUUUAUUCUUUACUUCAACAGAUAUAAGACUUCCAAUUCAUUGCACUUUUUAACCUUAACCAUUAACAUUUUUACUCAAUUUAUGAUUAUGUAUAAUAAACACUUUAAAUGAAUUACAAACACACUAUUAUUUUCUACAUGGAACCAAUAAUACUAUCUCUCUAUAUUGAUAAUACUUACAAAUGUUUUUGUAUUGUACUAUAUUUGCAACUAUUAUAGUCUUGAAGAGGUAUUUAGUUAAAUACAUAUUUCUUUAAUAAACUAAGGUAUUGUUUAGUGGAGUAUUAUUUAUUUAAUUAUUUUGGGUUUUAUAAAAAAAGGAAAAAAGAUGUAAAGUUAGAAUGAGGAGUUUCUAUUAUUAGUGAAGUAGUAGUAGUAGUUAGGACAUCUUUAUUCCUUUCAAGUGAUAGUAUGUUGCAGAAUUCCAUUCUUUAUAUUUGUGAUGUCUAUCUAUAAAAAGGGUACCAAAUUAAUGGACUCAUUUUAAAAUAUAUAUAACUUCCUUUUUCAAAUAAAAAAAAAAAAGAAAGAAGAAAACUUAGGUUAUAUCAACCAUAUGAUUUUGAAAAUUAAUAGCAAUGAUUAAUUUAUAUAUUUUUUUUUAUAAAAAAUGAAUUUAAUUGGUAAAUUUGAAAUGUUUUUUUUCCUCUCCAAUGAAGAAGAAUUAAUUUGAAUAACGAGAAGAACCGAUCCAAUUUUUUUAGUAACAUAAAUUUUAAAAUUUAAAUAAUUGUGGAAUGAGAUUUUUCACGAUUUUAAAAUUAAUAAAAAUGAACAUGAAUGCAUGCUUUAAUUAUUAAAAUCUACAUUUUUCUAACGUUAUGGUUUGGGUCAAGAACUUGGUUGAAAUGGCUUUUCAAACAUAAACUAUUUUUAAGUAAUUACAAAAUUAUUUCAAACAAAUUCUAAAUUUUUAAUUUUUGAAGCGUUAUAAGUUGUGAGUAUGUAAGAUUUAAAGAUAAAUACAUAAUGUCACAUUCGGUGGCAUAUAUACUUUCAAUUUCUGAUCUUAGAAGCUGUUUUUAGUGUAUAAAAUUAGGCGAAAAGAGAUUUAUAUGAUAAAGAUUUAUUUUCAAAUAAUUAAUAGUGAAUUAAUUAACUAAUUAAGAGAAGUCAUUUAAAUGACAAAUGAAAUAAGAUAAUGUAAAAGGUGGAAUAAUAAAAAGGUUUUUCUUUUGACUAAACUUUCAUCUAUGCAUGUCCAUUUCUCCUUUAUCUCUUCCAAAUUCCAACCCCAUUUCUUUUCACUUUUCAAUAACGUUUAGAAGAUGUAACGCUAUUAUACCCAUUCAUUUCGAAAAAAUAGUUUGAUGUAUUUCGAACUAUACCUAUUUUUUACUUUUUUAUACCGUAGUACUUCAAUCAAAUGUCAAUCAUAAAAUAGUAAAUAGUAAAUGCUUACGUAUCUUAAUUUUUCCUUCAAAAAUUGGAAGCAACGGAUUAAAAUAAAUGCAAACUAGACUUAUCUUGACUUAAUCUAAUUACCACAAUCUCUCUAUGGUAAGUUCUAUCGAAUCAUAGGUAUGUCACAUCAAUAUUUAAGUAAUAGUAUUCAUUCACGAGACUAAAGAAUGUUUAAUUAUAUAUAAUUGAAGUUUAUUAGGAUUUUGGACAUAUUUGGAAUGAUUCAAACAUUUGAAUAACCACAUCAACAUAAUUACUCAAUUAGUGUAGACAUAUAGUAUCAAAUCAAGAUGUUAAAAGUAUGAAUCUCCCAACUCUAUGAUUAUUUAAAUACUUUCUUUUUUCUUUUUUCUCUAGAUCAAUGUGUGGACCUUAAUUAAUAUUUAAUAUCAUCAACGGUUUGACACGACCUUCUUCUCUAGAGGUUGAAGUUCAAUCUCGUAGAUGCGUUGUACUAAAAAAUGAAAGAGUAGAAAGGAUGUGAGUGAGUGUAUCCAUAUGUGUGUGUGUGUGAGAUUUGGUUUAAUUAAAAGAGAAAUGUCAAAGGGAUUAUUCACUUUAUGAGUUUAGGUGACAAAUUUGAUGGAUCUAAAUGGUUCAUCCAAAUUGGUGGGGGCCGAAAAUUCUUAUAUUCAACAUAUAAAAAAUGGUUCUCUUAGCUUUGAUUUAUUGGAGAUUAUUUAUACACGAAAGGUUUGAAAUGACCAUUCCUCUUUUUAUCAUUAUAUCUAACUUUCUUUCACGUUAUUAUUUUAGGUAUUUUGUUAUGCAGAUUUCUGUUAUUUUUUGGACUGUUUUCUUAGAGAAGGAAUCAACCCCAUUUAAGGUAGGUUUAAUGGGAUAAAAUUCAAAGGAUAUAUAUAUAUAUAUAUAUACACACAUACAUAUAUAUAUAUAUAUAUCAAUGAAAAAAGAGAAAUUCUUAAUUGUAUUAUUUAUUCAUUUUGAAGUUUUAACUUAGCAUUUUAAAAAGAAUUAGAGGUAAAAAAUGAAGAAUGAAAUCUCAAACUUAAUUAUAUAUUUAUUUUAUAUAUAUAAAUAUAUAAUAUAAAUUCAUACAAACAAUCAAAUCUCAAACCUAAUUAUAUAUUUAUUUUGUAUAUAAUAUAUAAUAUAAAUUUCCAUAACAUAUAUUAAUAUAUUUAUAGGGUCUUUCUUCCACUAGAUUAAAAUUCAAACAUAUUUUAAAAAAUAGAGAAAUUGACAAACUAUUUAUACUAUGUAGAACAAAAAAAAAUCAAAUAAUCAAAUAAAUAUUUUGUUAAAUAUGGAAAACUUUACUAAAAUUUAUAUAAUUGAAAGUGCUACUAAAAUUAUAUUAUUUUAAUCUUUUCCUCUUGAAAAAACAAAUAAAAUAAUCUUUAAAUUUUCAUUUAACAUGUAAUUGAAUGGGAUAUUCGUAUCUAUUUAAUCUUUAUUAUUACUUUUAUUUUUAUAAAGAAAACACUUUACAAUUUACAUUAGGUUUUGUUUUGUUAAGCUAAGUUUGUCUCGAUCUUUAGAUUUGGCCAAAAUAAUAUCUUAAAGACAAUUUUUUUAUAAUUGAGUUUGAUGUUAACCGAUAAGACAUUGUAUUUGUUUCUUAGAGAUGUAUGCUCUUGUUAGGGUAAUUGAUCUCAUAGGAGAUCUUAAUAGGUCACAAAGUUUAACUGGAACUAUCAUUUUAGUGUUGGAAAUAAGAUAAGACAUGAAGUGUUUGGAAAGUAGCAUGAUGUAUUCUUAUAUUAUUUAAGAAGAAUGUAAUCAUUAAUUUAUAGUAUACGAUGGUGUAUACUUUAAAUACAAUAAAAAAGAACAAAAUGUAUUAUUUAUUUAUUAAAGAAAGGGGAUGUAAAAGGAACCUUAUGGUUUGAGAAAUGUUGAGAGAAUUGAAAUAAUGAGUGUACUUAAAAAUACUUACAUGCUAAUUCUGUCCUUUUGGAGACAUUGGUAUAUUUUAGAAAAGCUUUUGGUUUACUAAUUAUAUUAUAUACCAAAUGUUUCCUACACAAAAAAUAUAUAUAUACACAAUAAAAAUUAUAUUAUACCAAAUGUUUCCUCAUAAAAUUAUAUAUAAUACAAAAUGGAAAUGGAAUAGUAUAAUCAACUUUGUACGGACCAAAAAAGGAGGAUACAAAUUAAAGAUCACCAAACACUCACCCAAUUACUUCUACUUCACUUUUCUCUCUUUUCUCUUUUCCCUUUUUUCUUUUUCUAAAUUUUAUUUUAUAUUACUGUGACAAAUUAAUAAAUAAUAUAUCUAAAAUUUAUUUAAUUACAUAUAAAAAAAAACAUACAAUAGCUACUAAUAAAGUUGGAUGAUUAAAAUAAAAGCUACCUAAUUUUUUGUGAUUAUUAUACUUUAGUUCUCAAGAUUCUUUUUGGACCUUUGUGCUUUAGUCCUAAUUUCGCCUCUUAAAUGUCCUAUUUUUCAUUAUAGUUUCUAUAUUAUUUAAAAACAUUCCAAUUCUUAGUUAAAAUUUACGUCUUAGUUUAAAUGCGGAUAAAAAAAAAAAAAAAACUCAAUUUAAAACCUAACACUUUUAUAAGUAUUUGAAUUUUUAUUUUUGAUUUUGAAAAAAUUAAACAUUUUUUUUUUACAUUUUCUUACGUUUGAUAUCACAUGAAUCUAAAUAGUUACCAAUACAAUAAAAUUUUGAAAGUAUAAAUCUAAAAAUUGAAAUGUAGGUUGAAUUUAAACUUUAAAAAGUUAUAAGGUAUAAUUUAAAUCUAAAACGUACUACUAAAUUUUAAACAUAUAAAAAACUUUGAUAGGUGAUAAAUAGAGAUUAUAAUAAUCACGUUGACAAGUAAUUCAAGCUCAUUAUUAUAUAUAUAUAUAUAUUUAAUUAUUGUAAAUAUAGGACAUUUAAAUAAGUAAAUCAAUAGAAUUUCUUAAAAAUAAUUAGUAACAUAUAUACUUUUAAGAAAUAAAAGCCAUGUCAACUUUAAAAAGUUUUGCCUUAUGAAUGAAGCAUACAAAUUAUAAGUUUGAUAAACAUCAUUUGAAACUUUUGUACUUGUUUAUUCUCUUCUCUAGAUUCUUAUAUACUUAGUUGCUUUAAAGCUCAACUUCACAUUUUUAAUCUUGAGUAGUUUUAUUUAGUUACAAUACAAACAAAAAUUUAAAACUUCAACACGUUAUCGAAGAUGGAGGAUUUUCCUAUUUUCUCUCUCGUAAUAGUAGAUUUUAGGGGUAUACAUGGGUUUAACAACCCAUUUGAAUCUUUCGAGGUAGCCAAACUAACUAGUUCGAAGGCCUUGAUACGUCUCCAAACUGGAACCAUUAAAUAUCUAUGGUAUUUAUUACAGGUUUUGAAGGAAGAUAUCAAAUUAAUUAGUUUUAAAAACAAAAACAUAGAAGAGUUACAAAUUCAUCCAUUUAUGUAAUUCAAGUUAUUGAUUUUAAAUACUUCUAUUCAACAUAAGAUCUUUACCGUCUCAACAAAAGUAGAAAAAUACUCAAAUCAAAAACAAAACUAAAUCAUCCGAUUCAUUUGAACAUUUUAUUAAAAAAAAAUAUCUUUAGUGAAUUUUGGUAUUGAAUAGGGUUGUGACAGAUGGCAAUAUUUAAGCAUAUCUAUUGUACUAAUUUAAUCAUUUAAGUAAUUAAUACCCAAAUUAAACAACCUUUGAAUUUGUCUCUUCCUCCCUGUCUCCUUGAUUUAUUAUAAUUAUACUUUAAUGUACAGAUUGAUGUACUGAUUUCCUCCUUUUUUUUUUCUUUCUUUCUUGUAAACUCAUAUAAUUCUAAAUUAAAAUUACAAAAGUCAGGGUUGACAAAGGAUGGAAAAAUUUAAAAGUCAAUAAUGUGAUUAAUUAGUAUUAUAACUAAUAAUUAUAUCAUCUAAGUUUGACACACACAUUGUUUAAUGAUAAAGUAUUACCUAAAUAAAGUAUAUAAUAAAAAAUUUAAUACUAGCAAGCAUAAUUACUCAACAAAUUAAAAUAAAAGAAAUACACACAAUUACAAAAAUGAAGUUGUAUCAAUUCAAACCGUGUAAAGAUUAAAUUGUCAAGUUUAACGACUAAAUUAAAUUGUUAUUUCUCUUCGUGCGUGUAUAUAGAUAGUAUCCCAAUUGAACAUCGAAAAUUUGGAAUCACAUCAUUCAAACAACUCUUUGAAAUUUAAAAUUGAAAUCACAAUUUGUAAUAGUUAUGACCACUCUAUAUUUAAGAUUAUAUAUAUAUAUAUAUUUAGAGAGAAUUCAUACUAAAAUCUAGGCGUAUUUAAUUUCAACAAUGAAUUUCAAAACUAUUAUUAUAUAUCUAUGGCAAGUUUUAAAGUAAGAAUAGAAAAUUUAAAAAAUCGUACAUUUGGCAAAGAACUGAAAUUUAUGUUCCACUAUGCAAUUUCCAUUGCUGAAAAUAUUAAUUGAAAGAAAAAAGGAAACUGAUUAUAUAUAUAUAUAUAUAAAAGAAAUUAAUUUAUUGGUAAAAAUGCAACAAAUUUUAUACAUUUAUUAUAAUUUCUUAUGCCCAUUGGAAUAAAGAGGAGAAAAUUGCAGGCCUUUCUCUAUUUCCAUUUUGUUUUGUUUUUUAAUUUAAUGUUUUUCAUGCAAGUUGAAAUUAGAUAUACAAAUAUCCAAAAUAGUCUCUCAUUAUAUAAUUUAUAAAAUUGUGAAAGCUAUUUUUACAAGAAAAUAUGAGAAUAUAUAAAAUAAUAUUCGUCGGAUAAUUAGUCAUCAAAUCAAUGGCCGUACAAUAAUGUAUAUACACACGUAUAUAUUUUAAAUACAUAAAUAAAUUGCCGGCUUAUUUGGGUAGUGAUGGUAACUCAUAUUUAUUUUAAAUAAUGCCAAUUUUAAAAAUAUUUAUAAAUAUACUAAAAUAUUGCAUACAUGGGUUACAUAUUUAAAUACUGAUAAUCAAAUUUUACUAUAUUUAUUUAUUUGAGUUGUUUUAAGAAGAAUUUUUAAAAAUAAUAGAUUUUAUAAAAUAUUUAGAAUCCAUACAAAAUUUUAUCUGAUAGUCAUUGACAUGCUAUAGUGAUAGAAGACUUUUAGUAAUAGAAUCCAAAAUUUUGCUAUAGUUCGUAAAUAUUUUAAUUUAUUUUACUAUUUUUAAAAAUGUUCUUUUUAUGAAUUGGGUGAAGAAGUUUAGAAAUAAGUAUUUUGUGAUUAAUAUUUAAUUAAAUAGUUUAGAGUAACUUAAAAAUAGCAAAAUAUUGAAUCUAUUUGCCAACUAGAGAAAAAUUGAUUCAACUCUUCCUCUAUUUAAGUUUUUUCGAUUUAUCUGUUAUUAAAAAUUCCUAAAUUAUUCAAAUUUAAGAUUUUUUUUAUGAAUUUUUAUUUUUAAAAACUGAAUCUAUUUCAUAUCAAUUUCUCAUAGUUUUUUUUUUUCUUUGUAGGGAUGAUUCUUUCUUGAUCACUUUAAUGUUUAGCAACGCAUCCCUGCAAAUCAAUAAAACCUAAUCAUUUGCUUACCUUAUAGUUUAACUACAAAAUUUUAAUGGUAAUUGCAUGGUGCAAUUCUAAAAGAUUUCUACAAUAUGGUUUUGCAGAAGAUAAUUUGUACAGAAUAGUACUAAAAAUGAUAAAAAAUUAUAACAACCUGUAAAUAUUUUGUCAAUUUUGUUAUUUCUUAAUAUUUUUAUUUAAAUUAGAAAACAAUAUUUUAAAAAAAGAAAUACACUAAACCUCCUAACCAAUUCAUAAAUAAAUUACUCAUAAUAAAAAGAGUUGGAAUUUGAUGCUCACAACGGUAAUUUGAUCAAGAUGAUAUGAGUUUCCACUGAUCACAAGUGAAAACAUUAAGAAAAUAUUUUUUUUGUAAUUUUAAAUAAUUAAGUUUAGAAAAAUUUUAAAAAGAAAAGUUCACGUGAAUAGAAGAAAAUGAUAAGUUUUUACCUAGAUACUUUAAAGCUUGAAGUAAAAUUUUAGUUAUUUAUUUUGAGGUUAGAUUAAAAUUUCGUGGGCUGUAAAUAUAUAGUUGGUUAAUUCUUCUAUUUUUAAAAAUCUCCACUUAAAAAAUAGUAGUAAUUUAAUUUAAUUUUAAUAAAUUUAUUUAUUUUUUAAAAAAACUAUAACAAACAUGUCUACGUCUUUUUUAUAAAAAUAAAAGUCUACUUAAUCAAUCCCACUAUAUCAUCAUUAGGUCAUGUCCCUUUUUGAUUAAGAGGUGCUAACCUAAAUAAAAGUCGAUAAUAUUAAUUAAAAAUUAAUCUAUAUAAAGGUAUAGAUGAGAAUAUAUAUAUAUUUUUCCAAAUGUACCCAUUCACUAAAAGAAUUUUCAUUUAUUCAUUUUUAUUGCAAUUUUGUUUUUAAAUAUAAAUGUUCUUUCAUUUGUUGAAAGACUCCAACUCUCUAAUCAAAUAAUAUGUUUCAAAUGUUGACAUUUUUUAAAUAAGUAGACUUCCAAAUAUAGAAGUUUUGAAGAUACACAAAAAUGUUGGUAGAAAAAAAAAAUAAAAAAAGUCUUAUAUAUAUAUAUAUAGUAGAAAAAAAGGUUACAAAUUUUUUUCAAUUUUUGGGCUUUAAAUUUGCAUUGUUAAUUAGAAUUAAUAAGAUAUUUAAUUUUUAAUUAAUUUCUAAGAUGUAAAUGAAAAACCAUUUGCAUUCCAACUUUUCAUAUCCUCCGUCUAUAAUUAAUUCAAAAUGUAGUUGAUAAAUGAAAAAUCAUUUGCAUUCCAACUUUUCAUAUCGUGCAUACUUUAAAUCUACUAAACUUAAAUAUAAUUAAUUCAAAAAGCAGUGGAGGAGGGCGAGUCUUUUAUAAUUAUUUAUAUUAAAAAAACAAAAUUAAAAAUGAAUUUACCAUAAAACUAAAAAGUGAUUUGGACAUAGAACUAAGCUCAAUAAUAUAAUGAAGAGAAAAAAGUUUCUCCACAUUUUGACUCUUAUAUAUACUAUAGAUAGAUGUAGAAGUCUUAUAUUUUCGGUUUUAACAUAAUUAUUCUAUACUUGAUGUCGUUUCUUUACGAGAAUAAAAAACGGGCAUGUGUUAAUUAUCUAAUUAAAAUAAAAGACUAAUUUAAUAAUUCAAAAAUUAAGUUUGGAAAAGUUAAUAAAUAAAGUGAUUUAUUUCCAUUCACAAUUUCAGCUUUGUUUUAUAAUCAAUACUAUUUGAUCUUUUAGCUUUUUAUUUUUAAAAAUUAAACUUAUAAAGGGAACUUUCAAAUUCAAAUUUUUGUUGAAAGAGUCUUUUUACUUUGAGAAAUUUUCAUUUUAAAAUUUAGUGUUUUUAUUUGAGAAUUAUUUAUUUCAUGUAUGUAAUUUAUGAACUUCUUAUAUCGUUAACACAUGUUUUAGGUUGUCUCAAGUAUGCUCAUUUUAAUCUUUUAACUCACUUUUAGUUUGAAGAACAAAUGUCAAUUCAAUAAUUUCACAUUUCUUCACUCGACAGAACUUUUGGACCCGAAUUCAAGACAUAAUAUUUUGCCUAAUAAUGCUAGAGAACUAGAAAAGCAAUGUCAAAAAAUCCCAAAAACGAAAGAAUAAUUUAUCUAUAUGCUGAUAGACUUUAUAUACUUUCAACUCAUAUAACAUCGAGUUACUAACCAAGACUUGAUUAUUAUACUUGUUACCAUGAUCUGCAUAAUACCGAAGAAUAAAAACACCAUCAAACUUUGCAAAAUUAUAUAAAUAAAUUGUUUUACCACUUCGUCUUAUGUUUCAAUACACUUUCCUCCAAAUUCUCAAAUAUUUUCUCACUCCUUUUUUCAAAGUAACCACACCUAUUUAUGUUACUUUUUACUUUAACGUGUAAAUAAUUUGUUAUAUGAAGUGUAAAUGGUUUAUCAAUUUUUGAAAAGGUUUGUAAAAUGAAUGUAAAAUCUCCAUUCUCCAGCAAAGAAAAAGAGAUCUCAUGCAUAUAUAUAUAUAUAUGCUAGACUAUAAGUAUAGAUAUAUAGGUAUCCACUAAAUUUUGAAGAGGAAAAGAGAGAAGAAAACAUGAUAAUAAUGAAAAGGAGUGAUUAGAUGAGAGGUUAGGCGUGAAGAUAUGAAGAAAGUGGAGCCAAAGCACUAGAAAUUGUCCCAUUAUUACAAGCUAUGGGUCCCAAUUAAGGAGGUCGUCAUGAUUGGAAUUUCAUCAUCACUAUCUUUCAAAAUUUCUAUUUCUUUUUUCUUUUCAUAAACAAACCAAAUACAAUUUUAAUUUCUCUACUUUGAAUUGAAAAAUAUUAAAAAAGAUAAAGUUAGAUAGAUACAGAGAUUAAUCCAUAUUUCAAACUUAAUUACUAAUUUAAAUUUACUUAAUAUUUUUAUAGUUUUUGUAAAAAUAUAAAUUAAAACAAACAUUUUAAAUCGAUAUUUCUACUAGUGCUAUUAGGAGGAAUUUAUUAUUUAUUCUUUUCUCCAUUAGCUAUCGAUAUUAUUUAUUUAUGCAUAUCUAAUAUUAAAAUUCAACUAAAAAUACAAACAACUAAAAUUGAAUAGUGUUCAAAUAUAGAGCCCUUGUUUUCAAAAUGAAACAAGUAGAAACUAUUGUAGCAAUUAAUAUCAAUGUUGAUGAUAUUAAUAAAAAGAAUUAUAAAAACAAAAAGAAUUUAAAAAAAAUUAAAAUUAACUACUAACUAGUAAAUAAUUAUUGGACACUUUCUUUUAUAGAAAUACAUUCUAACUUUUUUUAUACAAGUUUGAACAAUUUAAUUCAUCCUAGGAUUAAUCUCUGUGGUAUACUUAUUAGGAUGAUUAUAAAUGUGAGAAUGUUAAUAAAAUUGUUGAUAUUGGGAGGAAAAUUGAAUAGCAUGAUAAUAAGAAAUUAGAAGGAGAUUGGUCAAAUAUUUUAGCGCAUGCUUAUUGUUUUUAUUUUGCUUUAUUUCACUCUUUGGGUCCUACCAACCCCUAAAAGUCCUUCUUUCACUUUAUUGAUUGUUUUUUUUUCCUUAACAAAAAAGAGAAAGAAAAAAAGUUCAAAUUACUUUAUGAUUUUGUAAAAAUCCAUGAAUAAAGAUGCUAUUAUGCCCUUUGAUAAUGAUUGUUUUUUCUUUUAUAAUACUAUUUUUGGACCACGAAAUGGUAAAAUAUUGAGAAUGGAGACACAUAGCCCAAAUGAAGUUACAUAAUUUGACUUCACAUGUUGAAGAAAAAGUGUUAAAUUGCUAUUAUAUUUUGAGAAUUGUUUGUUUGUUUUUUUUAUUAAGUAAUAAAUUUUUAUUGAAAUUUUAGAAGUUCUUAAUAGAAUCCUAGGUGGCAAAGUGGGCUCCACUUGGCGUUCUCUCACCGUUGACUAAGAAACAAAAAGUUUUGGUUAUGUUUUGCUUUGGCCUACUCGGAUUGGCCACGUGGGUCCCACCAACCAAAAUCAAAACCCACACCUGCUGAAAGCAAUUCCCUUUUCCACUUCUCACUCUUUCACUUUGAACUUCUCAAAAAAGCAAUUCACAGAGAACCGAAAACCAUAUGAAAAGAAUGGAAAAACAAACAAUACCAACCCAUUUCCUUUCUGGGUUCUUCUAAGUUCACUCCCAUCUCAAUCACAAAACCUCAAAACUCCACCUUCUUUCUUCUUCUUCUUCUUCUUCUUCUUCUUCAAUGACGGUCUGAUGCUUCAUCUCUGUUUCUCUUUCAUCUUCUCUUAACGGGUUCUUUCCAUUGCCGGGGACUGGGUCAGAUUUGUACUCUUUUUGUAAUGUGGGUGUGGCGGCUCGGCGUCGUGAAGUUUCGUGAAAUCGCCUCACGUUUUGGAGGGAGGAGAUAUGAUGAAACGGCUAAAUGGGGCUUUGGUUUUGCUUUGGUUCAUCUUUGUUGGACAAUUUUGUUGUACCAAUGUCUCUGCAACUGUAGAAGGUGAUUCCCAUUUCCUUUUCCUACUGAUGUUGCUUGUUGUACUUGUGUAGAUGAAAAGGGUGUGUCAAAGAUCAUCAAUGUUUUGGAACUGAGACCAUGGGUUGGCCUAACGGUAAAUAAAUCAUAUGAGUUUGAUAAUGGGGAUUUAUUAUCUAUGGCGUUUCGUUGACGUAUAAAUAUUGCAGGGUGAAGUGGGUUGUCCUAUGAGAUUAGUUGAGAUGCCCAUAAAUUGUCCCAAUGCUUCAGACUGUAAACAAAAACGUUUUGGAACAGAAUUCUUUUGGGCCAAUUUACUUCUCUGCCUAAGGCUGUUAUCUCUUAAUAUUUUUCAUUUAAGUGGUGGUUUUGAGAGCUUAAUGGGUUGCCAUAGUGUAAAAUAGGUUGAGACGAGAAGCAUACUUUAAGGUAACAUUUUGAUAUUUUUAGAAAUGCAGUGAUUGAGCCUUGUGUUCUAACUUCCCAAAUACAACUGUCAUUUUUCAUUUUGUAUGCUUGAAUUUUAUUGUUAAAUUCGGUGAUAUUCUGUCUCAUUAUUGUAUUAUAGAAUUCUAAAAAGUUGUGGAUGUGAUCUCUUUUCUCUUAUUCAGCUUCUGUUGAAUUUGACAAUGUGUUCUUUCUAUUCUAAACAGCUACUGUUCUGCAUAUAUUUCGAUUGAAUUUGGAAGAUCCAAACAAUGUUCUGCAGAGUUGGGACCCUACACUGGUCAAUCCCUGCACUUGGUUUCACGUCACUUGCAAUAAUGAAAAUAACAUUAUAAGAGUGUAAGGGACAUCAUUUGUUCGUUCAUUUGUUCUCGGGCUAUGUAAACUUUGGUCAAUGUCAUACAAAAUUUUACAACUUUCGGCACUCUUUGCAGUGACCUUGGAAAUGCUGGAUUGUCUGGCAAAUUAGUACCACAGCUUGGUCAACUUAAAAGUCUUCAAUACUUGUAAGUCAUUGUUUGCUGUAAACUUGUUUGGACUUCAAUUCCUAUAGCAUAAGCAGUUGUAAUGGUGACUUUUACCUGCAUGUAUUGUUCUUCUCUAAGUUAAAUGAUUUUAAUUGAUUACAGGGAGCUUUAUGGUAACAACAUAAGUGGAGAGAUUCCAGAUGAUCUCGGGAACCUAGAAAAUUUGGUGAGCCUAGACCUUUACUUGAACGGUUUAACUGGCCCGAUUCCAGACACGUUUGGCAAGCUCACACAAUUGCGUUUCUGUAUGAAUAUUAUACAUCCUUUCUUUUCUCUUCUUUGUGAUAUGUUACUUGACAUCUUUUGUGCUUUUACUUUCAUUGAAUGAGAACAUGCUUCCCUAGAGGCUUGACUCAUUCAUUGUGUGUUUAUGCAUUAUCUUUGAACCAUACACAUUCUUCCCUUUAUGUAACUUAUGGGUGUUUUCUCUUGGUAUAUCUUUGAAUGGAUAGUCGGCUGAAUGACAACAAACUAUCUGGCUUGAUACCGAUUUCCUUGAUAAAUAUUUCCACCCUACAAGUCUUGUAAGCAUUUACACUAUCUUUUCUUGCUCUAAGGUUCAAUUUUGUUGGAAGUGAAAGUGAGAAUAUGAGUUGAAAUAGAGUGGCUAUAACGUAGUUUAAACAUCAUUCGCAGGGAUCUAUCGAACAACCUUCUAUCUGGAAAAGUUCCAAAUAAUGGCUCAUUUUCACUAUUUACUCCCAUAAGGUAUUUUGCUUAUAAAUUACACAUGAAGUUUCUUCUGGAUCGAUGUUAGCUGAUCAGAUACUAACUGCUAUCGUACUGUUUGUAGUUUUGCAAAUAACUUGGAUCUAUGUGGUCUGGUAACUGGGAAACCUUGCCCUGGGAUCCUCCCUUUUCUCCACCGCCGCCAUUUGUUCCACAAUCAACAGUUUCUUCCCAUGGUAUUAUCUGGUUAGAAAGAUUAUUGAAAUAGGCAAUUGUUCUAGUACUCUACCACAACAAAUUGUUUAAUGGAAUACUUCAUCUCACAAUUUGGUGCAUAUCAUUGACAUAAGUAACUUCACUUGGGUUUAAAUAUACAUUGUGUUUGUUGAACCUAACAAGUGAGGUUAAUUCACAUUUAAGAAAUGAGUUUCUAUGAACUUCUCCAUUGUAGCAUUAACUUAUCUUUGACUUUGAGAAAGCUUAAAAUAUGUUUGGUUUCUCUCCAGAAUUAAACAAUCCCAAUGGAGCAAUUGUUGGAGGAGUUGCUGCAGGUGCUGCUUUACUUUUUGCUACACCGGCUAUCAUAUUUGUCUAUUGGCAUCGGAGGAAAUCACGAGAAAUAUUCUUCGAUGUCCCUGGUUUGUCUCUGUUGCAAAAGAUUCACUUUUACCUUUUUUUAGCUUGCAAGUCACCAUGGCUUUGUUUAUGCAGCGGAAGAGGACUCAGAGAUCAACUUGGGGCAGCUGAAGCGGUUUUCUCUGAGAGACUUACAAGUUGCAACAGAUAACUUCUGCAACAAAAAUAUUCUUGGUCGAGGUGGAUUCGGUAAAGUCUAUAGGGGACGUUUGGCUGAUGGCUCGUUAGUAGCAGUAAAAAGGCUCAAAGAAGAGCGUACGCCAGGUGGGGAGUUACAAUUCCAAACAGAAGUAGAGAUGAUUAGCAUGGCAGUGCACCGAAAUCUUCUGCGACUACAUGGAUUUUGUACAACAUCGAGUGAACGCCUCCUUGUUUAUCCUUAUAUGGCCAACGGAAGUGUUGCAUCAUGUUUAAGAGGUACAAUUUCUUGUUUUUCCUUGAAAAUGUUAGAAGUUUCAAGCUCAAGUUUUUUCUAUAACUUUUCUAGUGUAUCUUCAAUCUUGUUACAUUAUGUAUUUUAUUUAGUUUUGAUAUGAAAUCAAAACUAUCUUAUCCACAUCUUUGUUAAUUGGCAAAGCCACUUUUAUUACAAACUCAUAAUGUAGCUAGCAUAUUUUUCAUAGAACGUCCACAGUCUGAAGCUCCUCUCGACUGGCCAACUAGAAAGAAAGUUGCAUUAGGCUCUGCGAGAGGUCUUUCUUAUUUACAUGAUGGAUGUGAUCCAAAAAUCAUCCAUCGUGAUGUGAAGGCUGCAAAUAUUCUACUAGAUGAGGAAUUCGAGGCUGUUGUGGGUGAUUUUUGGUCUUGCAAAGUUAAUGGAUUACAAGGAUACUCAUGUUACAACAGCAGUAAGAGGUACAAUUGGGCAUAUAGCUCCAGAGUAUCUCUCAACUGGGAAAUCAUCUGAAAAGACUGAUGUCUUUGGUUAUGGCAUUAUGCUUUUGGAGCUAAUAACCGGACAAAGGGCUUUCGAUCUUGCUCGACUGGCAAACGAUGAAGAUGUCAUGCUGCUUGAUUGGGUAUAAACUCAGGAUUUUUCUUUUUGCAAAGUCUACUAACUUAGCAGCUCUCAACAGUUUUUUCUCUAACCACUCUCGUUUUGAUUACAAACUUUUCAGGUGAAAGGGCUUCUGAAAGAGAAAAAGUUGGAGAUGUUGGUUGAUCCUGAUUUGAAGGAGAACUAUGAUGAGAUUGAAGUUGAGCAAAUAAUCCAAGUAGCACUUCUCUGCACACAGAGCUCGCCUAUGGAACGACCCAAAAUGUCUGAUGUGGUGAGAAUGCUGGAAGGAGAUGGGUUGGCUGAGCGAUGGGAGGAAUGGCAGCGAGUGGAGGUAGUUUACCAUGAAACAGAAUUGACAUCUUCUCAAACUUCAGAAUGGAUGGUUGAUUCGACUGAAAACGUUCGUGCUUUUGAAUUAUCUGGUCCUAGAUAACUAAACAGUUUGAUAGAAACAAAAUGUCAUCAUUCCUUCUUUUUUUCUUCUUUUAUUUAGAGUGCUCACUUUUUGCUUCACAAAACCUGUGUAUAUGAACACCUUGUUAGAGCAAUAUAUUACGUAUACAUAGCUUCAUUUUCAUAAUUCUUCUUUCUUCUUCACUUCAUUUCAGUUAUUCACCAAGUCUUGAAAGUUUUUAAGCAUUAAAAUAAAAUGAUCAUUUGUAUCAAACUAUAGACACAAACUUAAAACCAAAAAACUUAGUAGACAUUUUCAAAUUUUAGAAGCUUACGUUAAAAGUAAUGAGUUUUGAAAUUUCACCCUAAUAAAAGAUAAAUUCUAACUUAUCAAAUUUAUAAUUUAAUUUUCUUUUCAAUGUAGGAUAAGUUACAAAACUAUGAUUACAAGAUAAUGACUAAAUUUUAAGAAGAAAAAAAAUGAAGUUUGGCUAUGUAAUAACCAUUUUUCUUUUCAAACUAACCUUAUUUUCUCUCUAACUUGUCAUAAUGAUUUAUAAUUUUUUUAAUUUUAAAAUCCUAAAAGGUUUUUAAAAUUUGUAUCUUCAUCUCUAAGUUUUAAAAAUGUAAAUUUUGGUGUGCAGAUUUUUUAACAAAAACUUAUUUUGAUCUUUUCGUUAGAACUACGUUAUCUUAACAAAAUGUUAGAGUGACACUUCUAUAUUUGGAUGAGUUGAGCGAUCAAGUAACUUCUCUAAACGUAAUCAAACACUAACAAUCAAAUAAACUCAAAUUAAAAAAUUAAAAUUGUUUUUUUCUCAAAAUUUAAAUCUCUCACAUCCUCUCUUGUCUCUCUCACAUUGUUUUUCAAAUUGAAAUCUUGAAGCAAAUUAGAAGAACAUUAAGUAGAAUAAAAAUAAAUAAAACCGACAUAUUAACGUGCUAAAAUCUCUAACAAGGUAAAAUAAAUUAGAAAAUAAAACAAAUAUAACACAUUAAUAAAAUAAACUCUAUAAAAUUACAUAUCAAUAUUCCUACCAUGAAUCAUGAAACCAAAAAAAGAAAAGGAGAAGAAAGAAUUGUGAAGAAGAGAACAAAAAGGCAUAUCAAUGAAUCACAAGAUACAUCACGACUAAACAAUUUGUAUGAGAAUAAAUUUGUAUGUAUGAGUUGAGAAAUGAACUAAAAUGUCAUCCUCGUCAUGAUUUUGUUAUAGAAUUUUUUUUUUAAAGAAAUUUACAUGGACCAAAAUAGAAUUUAAAUGUUUUUCGUCAACUAUUGUUUAGAAAACUAAUUUUUAGCUCUCGAAAUUUAAAGAAAUUUAGAGAAGCUUAACUUUUGUUUUUUGUGAAAUAGUAUAUUAUUAUGAUUUUUUCAAACAAGCUUAAUUUUUUUUUAAAAGAAAAAAAAAAGACGAAAUGGGGCUAAAUUUGUAAUUUAAACUUUUAGAAAAGUUGAAUCGGAGAAGAUGAGGGAUGGAAGCGACGGAGAGAAGAAAAACGGGAGAAGCUUUUGAGAAACGCCGCCUCCUUAAACCCUAAAAUUUCUAUGCUUUUCAGCUCUUAAAUUAAAUGUACGCUAUGUAUCCAUCAUUCUCUGUUUGUGUUCCCUCUCCCCUUAAUCCUCCUUUCUUCCUCCGACUAAUUCAUCCAUUCUUGUUUUCUUUCUUCUCUUCUUCUUCUUCUUCUUCUUCUUCUUCUUCCCACUCCCAACCACCCUCUCAUUCCUAUGGAAUCGUCCUCCAAUACCUCAUCGAUACCUUCCAACUCUCCCCCGCCAGAGCCGUCUCCAUUAUGGCAACCCGUAGAGGCAUUCAAUCAACUGAAAAGCCUCGUUCCGUUUACAAAUAUCUUUCGGACCUCGGAUUAUCCGACACCCAAAUUAAAUCAGCCGUUCGAAUCACACCCCAAAUCGCGUUUUCCAGCAUUGAGAAAACACUGAAGCCAAAGAUCGAGUUCUUACAGAAUCUUGGCUUUGUUGGCUCAGAUUUGAGUAAGUUCAUUUCCAGGCAAUCUAAAUUUUUUUCUUCUAGUUUGGAAAAGACAUUGAUGCCCAAUGUUGAGAUUCUUAAGAAUGUUUUGCCCAAGGGUACGUGUAAUGACGAUCUCCCGAAAGUUUUGCGGCGAUGUUCUGAUGUACUUACGAGAUCCCCGUAUAAAGUGUUGUCUGUAAAUAUCAAUUACUUACGAAGUUGUGGGAUUGUUGACUAUCAACUCUCUACGUUAUUGAAGCGACAACCUGCACUUUUUAUUAUGCAUGAAUCUCGACUUAAAGAUUUUGUUUCAAUGGCUGUAAAGGCUGGGUUUUCUCCCAACGGUACAAUGUUUAUUCAUGGACUUCAUUCUAUCAGUAGUAUAAGUAAUGCAACUUAUAAGAAGAAAGUGAAGCUGAUUUGUAGUUUUGGAAUAACUGAGAAAGAAUGUAUGAGAAUGUUUAAUUCGGCUCCUGUUUUGAUGAGGACUUCCGUUGGUAAACUUGAGGUUGGUCUAGAAUUCUUCAUGAAUGAGGCAAAAGUUAGCAAAUCAGAUAUUGUUCGUAAUCCUUUUUGUUUGAUGCACGCAAUGCAUGGAAGGGUGCUCCCUCGUUAUAGAGUUCUAGAGGUUCUGAAGUCGAAGAGGCUAACGAAGAAGCUCCCGAAGUUGAUCGAUUCAUUGUGGAUGCCUGAUGAGGAUUUCUUAGAUAAAUUCGUUCGUAGGUUUCCUGACAAUAUGAAUGAUUUGUUUGAGGCCUUUAGAGGUAAUUCGAGGAGAUAGCAACAUGAAGAUGGGGCAAGAACUAGAGCUAAUUUGAUCUAACAUUUGGUCAAUACCUUGAGAACAAGUGGUCGGGGUUGGAAGGUGCUUUGAUCAUAGUGAGCUCUUGAUUCCCCCUUUUCAUGUUAGGAUGGUCUCUCUCUAUCCCACAUUGUAUGUGCUACUAUGGUGAAUGUACUUGGAUUAAAGCUUCACAUUACAAAACACAACUAUUUUGCAUGACAAUUCUUCCUAAAAAUAAUGUAAAAAAUAACAGUAAAGAUCCUAAAUAGUUUAAGUUAAGGAAAUUGUAUGGAUCAGAAUGACACUCUUAAAAGUAAAAGAAUAAAACUAAACUAAGAUUCCUUUGAUCUAAAAACCUAAAUUGAUUUGAAUGUGUUUAGUUAUUCUUUACUUUUGACAUGUGCCAUGUGGAUUGUACCAUUGAUUGAUGGAUUCUACCUAAUUUGAUUGGAUUGAAAGGUGAUCGACCCAAUCUUUAAAAAUUGCACGAGAUCCACAAUUACUUACUAUCACUGUUAGGAUCAAAUGGUAAUAAUAAAUACAACAAAUUUAUAAUUCUAAGGAGGGAUAAAUAACAAUUCAACUGUGAUUGUAAUUCACUGUGAUUGAUUUAUCAAUGCAAUUUUAUUACGACUAUGUCAAUUGUGAUUUCGAAGUGAUAGAAUACGUAAAUAUAAAAAGAGAAGAAACUUUUGUUGUAUUAACUUUUACCAUAUAAUUUAAAAAUAUAUCUUUCUAUUUCAAACAUCAAUAAUAAUUUUGUUCUAUAUAUUUUGCAUAAAGUUGAGAAAGAAGGCUAAAUAGAUGGUGAUCAAUAUUUAACUUUUACAAACAUAUAGAAAUAGAAAAGUAAAUGAGACUUUGUGAGAAUAUAAAUGACAAUUAGGAUCGACGAACUUAAUUUUUUUCACGUCUCAAUCUUUAUUGUACUAAAGAAAAGCAAUAGAAAAGUAAAUGACACUCUGUGAGAAUAUAAAUGACAAUUAGAAUGGACGAACGUAAUUUAAUUCAUGUCUCAAUUUUUAUUGUACUGAAUAAAUAUAAAAAAGAGAAUUUUGAUUUACCUAUUCUGGUUGAUAAAAGAUAAAUAUCUUACUAAUAGGUCAGUAUUAAAAACGUAAAGAAUCUAUUGCACCAAACAUUUAUUUUUAAAUAAGGAAAAGAUAAAUAAAAUAAACUCAAAAUUGAAAGGCUAUACUUAUAAUUAACUUUAAUAUUAAUGUUUGUGGAAUUUUAAUUUUCUGUUUAAAGUGGUUGAGAUAGGAAUCUUACAACCUUACACUGUUAUCGCUAGAAAGAAAAACAAUUUUUAUAGUCGAUGGCAGAUCCGAAAAUUUUACAUAGGAGACACCAGACACUAUAUAAUAAACACAUUAAAAAUGUUAAAAAAUAUCUUGACGUUUCACUUAUGCUCUAAUAACACUCACUACAUUUAUAGCAAUAAAUAAAGACCGACAAUUUUCACAUGAUUUUUUUUAAUGUAAAUAUGUAAAUUUAAAAUUUGCAUAAAAAAAGAAAAAAGAAAGAAUAAUACAUUUUUAAUAUUAUUGAAAGAGUGGAAGUUUGGAUCACCGAUUUUAUUACAUUCUUUUAAUUUUUUUUGUUAGAUAACAAAUGAGAUCUAAGAAAUAAGUUAGGGUUAUAUAUGAGUUUUUUUUUUUUUCUUUUUAAAAAUUAUCUUCUUUUGGUGAAAUCAAAUUAUCUUCUUUUUAGGAAAUCAAUAUCUUCCUUUUGUAAAUCAAAUUAUCUUCGUUUGGAAAAUUGUUAAAAUUUAAUAAGAAAUUUGAUAUCUUCAUUUUAGGAAAUCAUUAAAAUUUAGAAAGAGAUUUGAUAUUUAGGAAAAUCAAAUUAUCUUCUUUUUAGUAAAUCAAAUUAUCUUACUUUUGGCAAUCAAAUUAUCUUCUUUUGGAAAUCAAAUUAUCUUCGUUCGAAAAUGGUUAAAAUUUAAUAAGAAAUUUGAUAUCUUCCUCUCACGAAAUCAUUAAAAUUUAGAAAGAAAUUUGAUAUUUAGGAAAAUAAAAUGAUUGAUAUUUGAGAAAAGAAUUUGAUCGAUGUUUUGAAUAAAAAUCUAUUUUGUAAUAAUUUAUGAAUAAAUUUGAUAUGUGAGGAAAAAAAUUAUUGAUAUUUGAAAGAAAAACUAUUUCGUAGGCAAAACGAAGCUAAAUUUAAUAUAUAUUAUAAUCUAACACUUCAAAAUUAAUAUUAAAAUACAAAAACCGAUAACGUGAGAGGACACGUACCUCCAAUCCCUUAAUAAAUUCGACCUUGUUCAUAGCUAUCAACAACUAUGAGACCAAAAUUAUUUUUUUUGUGAAGGAAUAAAAUUCUAAAUUUCCCUCCUUUCUCUGAUAUAUUAAUUUGUGAUUGUUUAUAUAUAUAUAUAUUUCAAGAAAAAUUGUUUUCAAAUUAAGAAGAUGGGGUAAUUUAUAAAGUGGUUACUAACAAUCUUUUAAUACUAAAAAAAGAAUUACAUGAGAACUUCGAGAUUAGACAAAUCAAAACCAACAUGUUAUAGUUAUUGUGAAAUGAAAUCUCCCAUAAUUAGAAAAGAAAAGAUAAAAUGAAAUCAAGCAUAGAUCAAAUACUUUAAAUCAAAUACUAUAAAGGACAAUUAUUAUAUACGUUAAUACUUUAAUUCUGAUUGCUAUAUUUACGAUUGUCCAUUAUUGGUUUGGUAUUUAAAUUUUAUAUAUGAUUUUACUGCCAUUUAUGAAUGUUUUAAUAUGUUUUUCUAUUUUUAAAAAAUAUCCAUUUUUAGCCCUCCAAUCAAACAUCAAUUAACUAUAUAACAUUUAAUUAUAAACUCGAAUAAAAUAUCAAUUUAUCGUCUAAGAUUUAAUUGAAAUCUACAAUAAAACAUUAAUUUACCAUCUAAACCUUUAAUUAAAAUUUAAAACAAUCGAUUAUUGAGAAUAACUAUCUUAUUUUGGAAUGGAGUCAUCUGAACAUAAACAUGUUUGAAAUUUGAUGGACAUGAAUCAAAAUAUAGUUUUGUUUAGAAAGUUGCAACAACUAGAACGAAUGUAAACGAAUGUGGAAUGAAAAUAGGGUGUUUUAAAGCAUUUAGAAAGUAAAAGAUAGGGUUAGACAGAAAGUUAGGAGUAGAAGAUAAAAUUUACAUAUUUUAAGUAAACUAUUAGGAAAGAGGGAACCCACAAAUUCAAAAAUGAUUCUCUUCUUUAUUGGAACAAUCACAUGCAUUAGAAAACAUCAUAAUCAGCAUCUACUCAUCAACAUGAAGUAAGCUCAGCAGAUUCUUGGAAUUUCUCAUAUACUCACUCUCUUCAUUGACUUUUCCCAAAGUUGGCAACUUGAUUCAGCUUUAGCUGACAAAGCCAGCAUCAUCCCACGAAAUCCAGAAGCACUUUUUCGUUUUGGAGCUUCGAGUGCUCCACCAUGGCGUUUCAAACCCAAUUUUUGAAGAAGGCCUCCGUGAGGCGAACUCGAAGGCGCUUCAUGGCUUUUCCAGGCCAACCUUUUGCGCUUCUUUCUCUUCCAUUCCUUCUUCUUACGCUGCCAUGGGUGCCGACGAAUCCAAACCUGUUCUUCCGCCCUUUGAUUAUGAACCGAGGCCUUACAAAGGGCCUCUCACCGAUGAAAUUUUUCAGAAGCGGAAGAAGUUUUUAGGGCCUUCGCUUUUCCACUACUACCAGAAGCCAGUAAUCUCUCAGAUUUCGACUUCAUAUCCUUGUUUGUUUCAGUUUUCUGCAUUCUUGAUUUUGCUGUGGUUUUUUCUGAUAAAGAUUGAUUGUGGAAUUCUGUCGGUUCAUUUCUUUGAACAGAUUAUGAUUUUGCAUGAUUUUUCCGCUUUUUUUAUUCGUUGCUACUGCAGAUUUGUUGAUCUUAGUCACUGUUUUAUGGGAUACGCUUGGUUGUUUGGUUUCUGUUUGAACACACAUCAUUAAACUGAUCUUGGUUUGUGCAUGUCGAAUUAUUAGGUGCGAAAAAUUGUUUAUGCAUACUUACGUUCUUCUUCUGUUUGGGGGUCGUGUUUUCAUAUUUCUACGUUUGUCUAUAUUUUCUCAACUUCGUACUUCUAUAUAUAGAUAAAAAAAAAGCGUCCACGUUUUUUUAUGCGCCUUGCGAUUAACCAGAAGAUUAUUGCGUUUUAUUGUGCCUUUAAAAACCGCUGGGUAGGGCUUAGUAAAUGUGGAUCCAUUCUUUGAGACCUUGAAUUAAGUCAAGCUUCACUUCAUUCAUUACUUUAUACAGCUUUUCACCCUUGAAAGUUGAAACUAUUCUUGCACUAGUAACUUCUAUGGUUAUUGCUUUCCUAUGCUGGUACUUUGAUUUAAGUUGUUACAUGUCCACUGUCAAAAACAUUUGAUCAAGGGUUGCUAUUUUCGGGGCGGGCAGACUCCUAUAUCUUAGACUAGAAAAGUUUAAUAAAAGGGAUGAGUUUUAAAGUUUUCUCUCGUAUCUUCCCCCUCAUAAGUUUUUCGAAUUGAAAGAUUAUACGUGUAACUGGUUUAGAUCAAACUUUUGGCGGACUUUAUAAGAAAUCUACCCACCCUGGCCAGUUUGUUUUGUUUUGUAUUUGAUGGAUUCCCUUAAUUUCAUAUGUCCACACAUUCUUCAGAAACUGAUCUGUUUGAUUUACGCUCUUAAUUUACAGCUCAACAUUGUAGAAGGAAAAAUGCAGUAUUUGUUUGAUGAGAAUGGUAGGCGCUACCUUGAUGCUUUUGCUGGAAUAGUUACUGUAUCCUGUGGGCAUUGCCAUCCUGAUGUUUUGGCUGCAGUCAAUGAGCAAAAUAAACUUUUACAGCAUGCUACAACCAUAUACCUACACCAUGGGAUAGCUGAUUUUGCUGAAGCAUUGGCAGAAAAAAUGCCUGGAAAUUUGAAGGUGUUUUUUCCUUUUGAAUUAUUACAUAUUAUUAAUAUAUUUUAGAAGUUGAUGGAUGAUAAUGAAGCAAAGCAUGCAGUACAUGUUAGGCUCCGUGGAAAUUGUUGAACAUGUAUAGUUGUAUUUCAAUUCCUAGAACUGGUGGAUCUUGUUUCUCAACUUUUGUGGUUUGGUUGCUAUUUCAUCACUCCUUGAUUCUCCUUACCUUUUUAAAGAUUAUCCUACUUCUGUAUUGCUUUAAACUUCUGCUUUUUUCACUUUGUUAUUCAGGUUGUUUAUUUUGUAAACUCUGGGACAGAAGCAAAUGAAUUAGCCAUGCUUAUGGCCCGCCUGUACAGUGGUAAUCUCGGUAUGAUUGCACUGAGAAAUGCAUACCAUGGAGGAAGUUCCAACACAAUUGGACUGACGGCUUUGAACACAUGGAAGUACCCAAUACCUCAGGUUUUUCUGCCCAGAGCUUAAUCUCCAGUUUGAUGUUUUGUUUGGUUGCCUGUAUGUUAGAGAUAGAACUUACAUUGCCUUCUUGUUUUCUACUAGUCUGAUCUAGGCUUGCAGCAUCUUUUAAUUUAAAUGAAACAUUUUAGCAAUACUAUUAACACAUUUCAAGUAGCUACUUGAAGUAGAAAUAUCCACUUGAUGCAACUGCUAUUUUGUAAAAGCAAGAUGGAACUUUCACAUGCAAUUUACUCAGUGUAAACACAUACUCUGUUCUAGGAAGCUGCACAAUUUGAUCCAAGCAUUUUGAUUCACAUGCAAAAUUCUUGUGCUUGCAGGGCGAAAUUCAUCACGUUGUGAAUCCUGAUCCAUAUCGUGGUGUCUUUGGGUCAGAUGCUAGUGGUUAUGUCAAGGAUGUCCAAGAGCAUAUUGAUUAUGGUACUUCAGGAAAAGUUGCUGGAUUUAUAGCUGAAACAAUUCAGGUGCGUUUUUGUGACGUCUGAAAUCGAACAUGAUAGGCACAUUCUAUGUAAAAUUGAAAUUAUGUAUGGUUUUUCGGUUAUCUCAGGGUGUUGGAGGAGCUGUUGAAUUAGCACCUGGAUACUUGAAACAUGUUUAUGAUAUUGUUCGCAAUGCUGGUGGUGUUUGCAUUGCUGAUGAGGUCCAAACUGGCUUUGGUCGAACGGGAAGCCAUUAUUGGGGCUUUGAAACACAGGGUGUGAUUCCCGAUAUAGUAACGAUGGCAAAGGUAAUAUUUCUCAACCUUCAGCAAAAUGUGUUUACUCUUAUGCUAGUUGAAAACCACUGCAGCUCAUUGUCCUCGUUGUUCAUAACUUGAAAAUUUUCCCCCAACAGUUUUAAGUAUUCCACUUUUCAGGGUAUUGGAAAUGGUUUACCAUUGGGAGCAGUGGUGACAACGCCUGAAAUAGCGAGCACAAUGGCUCAAAAAAUUCAGUUCAAUACUUUUGGAGGGAACCCAGUUUGUUCCGCUGGGGGACUUGCAGUUCUAAGAGUUAUUGACAGAGAGAGGCGUCAAGCACAUUGUGCUGAUGUUGGUUCGCACUUACUGGAGAGAUUGAGAGCUCUCCAGGAAAAAUAUGAAAGUAAUUUCUCGUGGACUUUCUCUCUUUUAAGACUUCUACCUUCUUAAGUAAUCCACUUCGUUCUAAUAAUUCCAACGAUGACAUUUUUCAAAGCUUUGGAACACCAUUAGAAAUAAUUACGUUCAUUCCAACUGCUGCUAUUGUGAACCACACCCUGUCAUUUGAUUAAUGUAUUUUUUCCAGUCAUAGGAGAUGUACGAGGAAGGGGAUUAAUGGUAGGUGUAGAGCUCGUAACUGAUCGGAAGGAAAAAACCCCAGCAAAGACUGAAACCGCAGUAUUGUUCGAGAAACUAAGAGGUACUACAAUUCACUAUUUCCAAAGAAAAUAAUGUUAAACUGAAAGUAACAAAGGGCUGUUGUACUAAUGACUCGUUUCAUCUUGAUUGAAGAACUGGGCAUUCUCGUCGGAAAAGGGGGUCUGCAUGGCAAUGUAUUUCGAAUAAAACCUCCCAUGUGUUUCACCAAAGAUGAUGCAGGUAUCUUUUUUGUAAAUUUCUCAUUGAAACAAAUAAAAGCUACAUUUCGUGCACUGUGUGUUUUGAAAAUGAAAAUUUUUGGAGUUUCUGGAAGGAAAGAUAUGUUAUCAUUAUUAAUACUCCUUUUUUACCUCUCAUCUGCAGAUUUUCUUGUUGAUGCUUUGGACUAUUCCAUUUCAAAGCUGUAAAACUUAAAAGCUUUAAUGAGGUAAAGAAGUCAGACACAGUGUUUUUUCUUUUGUAUGUAACUUAAAAUAAAAUGUAGUUCUUGUGUGUAUGAGCGUCUCAAUUGUUCUAUUGUUCAUCAAUGUUAGAAAUCUUAUUGUACAAUGACUUUGAAACUUUUAAGAAUAAAAUGUAGUUUGUUUGUACAUCCAGCUACUACUUUUUCCUUUCUAAUUUAUACUUUUGUUAUUAUUAUUUUUCAAUCACAGUUUUGGUUUUGAGUUAAAUGUGAAGUUGAUGUCUCAAUAGCUUGUCACAUGACUGCUGAUUUUUUAGAUUUGUAGAUGUACCAAAUACCCCAUUGUAGGGCUAUUAGGAUGUUUUGUCCUUGCCAAUGAUUUAAUGCUUGAACAUGUUCUAUUCGUACACAUUUUAAAGUGCGAUUUAAUAUCAGUGUCUCAACCUAAUUCGUUGCUAUUCCAAACUAACAUUUGAGAAGAUUGAUUGGCGUCGAUAAACAGAGAGUUGAACUAUAUUAUUUGUGGAUAGUUCCUGCAUUGCACAAGGAGAGUGAUAUGAAUUGAUCAAACUAUUAUUUAUGUUUUAUUUAGUAAUUGAUGUAAUCUUCAUAUUUUCAUAUUAUCUUUUUAUGACAUAUUAAGUAGGGGUAGUUUUCUCUUUUUCACUAUGAUCUAAGAUGUGGCAUUAGCGUUUUUAUUGAUAGGUCAUUUAAAGCCUUGCUAUUAGGUUGUUUACUCAAAUUAGGACGAAUUAAUUUUGACCUUUGACCUUUGUUCUUGAAUUUUGCAAUUAUGUGUAGAGUUGUUUGUCAAAAGCAUUUAAGUAAGGUUGGUCAUUCUUUGUUUCAAAUCUUGGAUUAAGUAACUCUUUUUUUUUUGUCUCAAGAGCUUGAAAUCAAACUAAAUUGUGGGUUUUAAUGCUUGAGAGUUGGGGGUUUCACAUAUUCAAAGGGUAUUCAAUUCCAAUUUACAUGUGUUUCCAGAGAAGGCUUAAAAAUUAUUUGAAUUUGAGCUAUGACAUAAAUGAUUGGGCACAUGUCUUGUUAAGAUAAUUCUUGCUUACUCGUUUUUAGCUUUGUUGAAAAGAAAUCAACUAGUUCAUGUGUAUGAGUUUUUAAAGGAAAUGGAUAUUGUGCGUAUCUCAAUAACUCUACGGGGCCGUUUGACCCAUAGACUAAAAGAGUGGUAGCUCAACCCAUGUUUGCUCUAAAGAUUAUCACAAUCUUAGGAUUAUGACUAUUCUACCUUUUUUUUUCUUAUUCUCCUAUUCCUCAUUUCCUCAUUUCCUCCUGUCACUAUUCCUCAUUUCCUCCUUUCACUAUCUCAUUUACUCCUUUCACUAUUCCUCACCUCUCAUCUCUCAUAUAUGUCACUAUUUCUCAUUCCUUUGUUUCACUAUUUCUUACUUCUCCAAACAUAAAUUAUAAUAAUUCAAACUAUAAUAAUCUGCAUCUCAAACACAUAUUAUAAUAACUCAUAAAUUAUUAUAACCAAUAGACUAUAAUAACUAUAGAUUAUAGUAACUCACUCUACGUCCCAAAUGCUCCAUGUAUGUGACUUACUUCGAGCUUUGAAAUGUUAAUAUUUUUUUGGGUAAUAUCUCUUCUAUCGUUGUUUCAAUUAAGAAAUAUUUGUAUAAUUGUUUCACGUGGAGGAUUUUCUGACAAAAUCAUCGCUUAGAUUUGACUACUAUCACUCUUGUUGAGAGAUGUUGAUAUUUUUUCUUUUAUGCAACUUGACUUAUGUGUGUGAACCUUUUUCUCAAUUUAAGUGACACAACCACGAAAACAUUAAAUUGCUCUAAAUUGUAUGAUUUCAUUUAUUAGAAAAGUUAUUCAGGUUAAGGAAUCCUUCUUUACACCAAUUGCAAUAUCUCAUUAAUUAUUAGACUCAUAUUAGUGUGGUUCAGAUCAAACAAAUUUUUCUUGAACUUGCUGUUCUUUCAUUAGUUAAUUUGCUUUGUUUGGUGGUUUCGCUAACUCUUUGAAAACAAAGAAAAAAUCAAAUUGUCUCAUUAUUCAUCAGCAAAGACCAAGUAUUCACUCCAUAACUUGAUUAGAUUUGAAUUCAAGUAGCUUAAAGUGUCGUUUGCAGGUUCUGGAAUGGAUCAUUCUAGUGUCAUGAAUGUAUUUUUUGAUAGCCAGUCAAUUACAUAUUUUGCUUGAAAUCUAGUUUUUCAUGAAUGCACAAAAUGUGAUGUCCACAACAACAUAAUUGUUGGAUUUCGUAUUUCUAAGAAUUAAAGAUCAAUUUGUAGACAUCUUUACGAAGGCAUUAGAGAAACAACAUUUUUUUGUAUCUUCAUUGUCACAAGUUGGAGAAUUGUGAUCCUCAUUUACGAACACCUCGAGGAGCAUAAGAAUGCAUUUUAAUUUUAGUUCAAAAUUAGGGUUGUAUUAAGGUAACAAAACUUUGUUGAUAGGUUCCAAUUUGAAUCAACUAAAGUAAACUAACUACUCCAUUCACUGUCAUUUAUAAAUGUCAUUCUUGUAAUCAGUUGAGUAGGAAAAAAAAAUUGCAUAUCACAAAAAUGUUCAACCUGAAGAUUGAUUAUAUUAACACUAAAUAGAUUAUAUUUAAGACAACUUGGCAAUACAAUAGAUUACAAAAAUCAAUUAUACUUACAAUUUUUUCUCUCGAUAAGAUUCUCAAUAUUUACAAAUGGGCGUGGUAGGACUUGCAAAAUGGUAUGGCUUUGCAUCCUUGAUUAUAAAUCUUAUACCAAUACAUUUCCACGACGCCUGCAUAUCCUUUUAGGAUAAUCAUGAAGCAACCUUGAGCUUGCCAAAUGUUGGAUAAUGAACUAUGCAGGCUCACAAGGACGAUUACCCCAAAGUGAGCUCAAUGCUCGGAGUCGUUGGAAAAACUCCCCCAGUGUAAGAAGGCCUUGAGCAGAUUGUCGAGUCGUUAGAAUUUUGUACAUCUGUUGCAAUGUUUCCUGUCGUAGAUGGUCAGCCUAUUUGGGCAUUAGAAAAGAGAGAAAAAUAAAAGAUGAUUGUUUCAUGAAAUGCUCAAGUCUGACUAAUUAUUUUUGGAUGUACCAAAUACGACGUAGUGAGGUUCUGAGCUAAGCCUAGCGCGCUAACACUUUUCAGAUAUUGAAAUAAUUCUUUGCUAAAAACAUCUAUGUAAAAUUAUAAUCAAGUUCUAACAUACAUGGUUUGGACUUGGGACAUGGAAGGUUAAAGUGACCUAGGAGAAAGUUAAUAAAAGAACACAUCAUAUCCAAGAAAUAUGUUACCUGAUUCACAAAGCUAACGAGCGCUUCUAAUCUCUCCAUUGCAGCAGUCAUCUGUAGGGGAUAACUUCCUUCACCUAGCUGACCAGCCACUACGCUCUCAAAUAGAUUUUGUUGUAGUUUUUCCAUACCUUGUCUAAGAGCAUCUUCUGCCUGUAGACACGAUUUUCUAAGGCUACCCGUUUCUGAAAUUUGUUGUUCGGUUAAUGUCUCCAGCUGAGGUAUCAAAACCUGCAUAUGACAUAACUUUGUGAAUGUCACCAAACUUUCAUGUAAAUCCACUUAGUACUCUCAUUCUUGAAUAUCGAAAGGCUUUCUGAAUUUCUUGACUUCAAAUAUUGUAGGAUCAAGGGAUGGUCGAGAACUGUGGACCUAAUAUAUACAUAGAAAUCAAGUGACUUUCUACGGUAUAAAAAAUGUCAAAAUGUGGGACUUGACCAUGAUUAUCAAGAAGCAUUCAAAGAAUACCUUAAAAUUUAUGCCUCUAACAUAGAUUUUCACUGCAAUACAAGAAAUAAACAAGAAUGCUGAGUAUAUCUAAUGCUCUAAUCUUCAUUUUUUCAAAGGGGUGGUCCACGAAGCUACGUACAAUAGUGAAUUAAGGUCUUUUUAAACCAUGUUUGUUAUUCAAACUAGACCUAAAGUCGUGUGUGAUUGGAAGAUUAACUCUUUUGUUAAUGUCAACAUUUUACCAUGACUCGCCACUCACGUUAAUAAGAACGUACCUUGAGAAGUUCUGAAGGGCGAAAUCCUCCUAUCCAUAAGAAAAGUCUUUCGGCGGAUGUCUUCCACAUGCCUGACAUUAUGUAAGAGACGUCGGCUUUUGCAGCCUUAGCUUUCAUGCGAAAAAAUUUAAAGUAAUGUCUCAUUGCAUUUUCCACGAGUAUUCGAAGCUCGAUAUCAGUAAUAUCAGCAUGCACAGCAGUCCUCAGAUCACAAAUCUGCCUGUUCUGCUCUUCCACCCAUUGCUCAUACUCUGAUUCAAAUGCGAAGAUGCCUACAAAACAAACAGUGAGGAUAUAUUCAGAAGAUAAGAACGACAGAGAUUAAGGUAGAUUGCAAGUAAGAAGAAGAAAGUUGGUAAGAAAUUUAGGUAAACAGGUCAUAACUUUAGUCAAUGAGGCUUCUGAAGUGAAUUUGCAGAUGUAUACAAAUAGACAAAAAGAGUUGUAUGUGAAAUAGACAAAUUCAUAAAUAUUCUUCUUUUUACAACUUCUCCAGCAUUUUUGUUAUGUUUUUGUUUCCAUAACUGGGGUAUUUGGAUCUCACUCCUCGCAUUAAAGCUUAACAAUUCUGCCCUUCAACCCUCAACAACUUGCUCAAAAUAUGUUAGUGAAAAAUAGUAAUAGUUUUAAAGCAUUUAAAAAGUCAUUCCAUACAGACUAAGUUUUCAAUUUGGAAACUUCAACUUAAUACUUUGGAGGACACAUCCAAAAAUACUCGAACUCUGAAAACCAAGGCAUUCUACAUCCCUAGCAUUUCAAGCACCAAAUCUUUUUCAUCAUACCAUAUAUCUACAAGAAGUUCUAUGUCAAACAAGACGUGAUGCCGUACAAAACAUGUCAUCCUUGAGGAAAAUUAUCAAAAGUGGUAAGGAAGACCAGUCAAUCUUGAUCUGAAAAAUGAAUAGUAUAAAGCAAAAAAGGAUCAAAAUGCCUUUUGUUAAAGCAGUUGAUGAAACAUGGAACCACAUUUAAUGGGAGAGACCGCCUUUAGCACCACACAUCAAUAAGUUGGAUAAUCUUUACGUCUAGGACUCAAAAACGUUCGGAGACAUCCUAAACUUUACAUUUUACGAUGACCCACAUGUUGGGUUAAGAUUUUGGAUGUUCAUAGUUGACAAUUCAACAAACACUGGACCUGCAAAAAUUUUAGUCACUAAUCAUUUCCCCUAAAUUGAACCUCUCAAACAAAUUUCACAUCUCGUAGCUUUCAAAUUCCCAUCUUUCAGUUAUCAAACAACCAAAACCAAGCAAUAAAAGGAUCUACACUAUUGACAAGACAUUGAAACAUCAAAGUUAAAGAAAAGGGUAAAAACAAAGAACGAUUGGCCAGCAGAAAACCAACCUGAAUUUGUGGUUCCUGAUAAACCCAAUUGGUUAUUAUCAAAUCGGGAUCCAGCCAAGAGACCCUGAAGAAAAAGACAGGGCGAGAGAUUAAAUUAGAGGAAAAGAAAUGAAACCCAUUCAUAAUGUUCCGUAAAAAGUUGAAUGCAGGUUUAAAACAAAAAGAAUCAAUUCGAAGGAAUUAUCGUUCGUACUUGUUGUCUUGCCUUUUCAAGUUCUUGCUCCAAUUGAAUGAGCUUUAUGCGGCUUGUUUCCAAUUGCUUAAUAUAAGCCUACAAUUUUGCAAAUGGGGUUUGAAUUAGUAGUCUAUUAACACUGUUUUUUUUUUUUCUCUAUUAUUUAUUGCAAUUGAAACUUUGAAAUUGAAUGCUACAAUUUUGAAUUUUGGUUGGUACCUUUUUCCGUAGGCGACUUUUGCGAGCUGCUUCCCGAUUUUGUGCCAGCCUUCUUUGAAUCUGCAAUUGAUGGAGUUUUCAGUAUAUUUGUUCUCCUUCCUCAUGGAGGGAAGAAAAAAAAAAACUUCAAAAUUUCACUUAUCAGUUUUGUUCGGUAUUUUCCACAAAUUUGAAAUCUCUCAAUAUUUUUUUCUUAAAAAACCAUUUUAUUAUUUAUGCAAUUCUUUUUUGGUAAUGAUUUAUUUUAUAUAUAUAUAUACUUAAAAAAUGUGCUUCUUUCUUUUCUAAAAAAUAAAAAAUUGUAAAAACUAAUUUUUAUGUCCAGGAUAUUUUUGGUUUUUAAUUUUUUAGAAUGAAGUCUAUAAACACAAAUUUCAUACUUAAAUCUAAUUAUUUUGUUAUCUCAGGUUUUCUAAAAUUAAACCUAAAUUGAAAAAUAUGUUUUUCUUUUAACUAGUUAAAAAUUCAGAGAAACUUUUAAAAAUAAAAAAAAAUUAAAUAAUUACUAAACAAGUAGUCACUGAAACUUUGUAUGACGAAUUUUGAAGAUAUAAAUAAAAAGUCGUUUCAAUACUUAAUUUUAAAAAGUCAAACAAUGGUUAUCCCUUUCAUUUUCUUUUUUUUUUCUCUAUCUAUAAAUUAUAAUAAGUUGAAUUAUUUCUUUUUCAGAACAAUUCGAGUAAGAAAUUUAAACUAUAUAUAUACCUCAUGGUUGUUAACUUAUAUCUUCAACUAAAAUAUCAUUUUCAAAACCUAUGCUCAUAUAUUUUAGAUUAAAAGGGUAUGUUAAAAGUUUAAUCAAAGUUUAUAAACUUUAUAGAGUAUUUAUUAAGUUACCUAUUUUAUUUAUUUAUGUUUAAAAUUUAACAGUGAAAUUCAAAUAUUCAAAUAUUGAAAACGUAGAAAUUUAUUUUAAAGUUAAAUUAUUGGAAGUACAAUGUUUUGAUCGUACCUUAUCAAUUCGUUUGGUAUCAUCUUGGUCAUAUACGUGAGGAUCUCCAAGUGAGCCAAGUGAAGCAUCAUCUGACUAAAGAAAGUUAAAAUGACAAAGAUUUCAAUUUCAUUCCAUAAAACAAAAACAUUAUCAAAUAAAUUAACAAAAAAUAAAAUAAAAUAAAAUAAAAUUAUGGAACAUGUACUUUUUAAGAAAACGAAAACAUUAUCAAAAGAGUCACCUGAUUUUCUAAUUUGGGAUCAGCUUCGAUGAUAAAAGAGGAGGGUGGAUCUAAAUUGGCAUUGGCUCUAAAAGUUUCACCCCACAUUCCAAUAUGGUGGAUAGGUUCAUAGAGUCCCAUCCUUCCUGGAUUGUAAAAUUUAGUGGAUGAUGAGUUCAUCCUUUCUCUUCUUCACACCUAACCCUUUUUAAUUAACAUUAUAUCAAACAUAAAUUAACAAUUUCUAUUACAAUAAUACUCAAUCAUGUUAUGCAUCAAUUCAUAUUAUAUUCCUAAAAAAUUAAAACAGUUUUGUUUUUAUAUUACAAAGUCAAAACAUAGAAAUGCUAUAAUUAAUUAACAUAUAUAAAAAAAAUGAUGGAGUUGAAAUCUAAAUUAGCGAAUUCAAUUGUAAUUUUACUUAAUUUCUAAAAUUGAUAAAAAAAAAGAAGAAGAAGAGGAAGAAGAAGGAGACUGUGUAUUUUAAAAGAAAUUGCCCAUUGUUAAUUGUUUUUCAAUUAAUGAUUUCAAAAAUCAAAUUCUUGUCUUUGAAAAUUAAACUCUCAAUCAUUGCAUUGUAAUAGUCCACAGAGAUGAUAUAUUUGUUUUUUCUUUUCUUCUUUUUAAUUUUUUUUGGCUUGUAAUAUUAUUUUUUGAAAAAUUAUGAAAUAUUUUUCGAAUUUCUAAAAAAUAAAUAGAAAAAAUAGAAGAUAUAUAGCUCAAUAAUUGAUAUGUACUUUGUUUUGAAAGUUAUAGACUUAAAUAAAAAUAAAACAACUAAAAUAAUUACACAGAGUGAUAAUUUUAUUGAAAGAAAAUUAAAACCUCAAUAAUCAAUCCAUCCAUAACUACAUAAUCAAAUAAAAUUCUAUAUAAUUUGUAAUUUCAUCAAAUCAAAACACAAUAACAUUUCAAAUAUCUGUUUCUUUUUUUCUUUAAAAAGAACAUUUCAAAUUAAAUAUCCAUUUCAAGGUUAAGAUGGACUCAGGAGAUAGAAAAAGAAGAAGAUUGGGACAGACAAAUUAAUCAUAUAAUAUGAUGAAAUUAAUUGCAAUAAAAACAAAAGAGAAAUAAUUAUGAUUAUAGUUCUGAAAAAUGAAGUAAUAUACAAUAAUAAAAUAAUGCAAUAAAACUAAGCUGGCAGUAAUAAUCUUUUCAAAAAUUAAAAGAAAGAAAACAAAACCCCACAUAUUAUUCUUGGACAAGUGGGAAAAAGUUAACCAUCAAACGAUUCAAAGAACAAACGAAAGAAUUUCCCAGAAACUUCAAACUCAAAACCAUUAACCAAAUCUUACAAAAAAACUACUAAUACUUAAUAGAUAAAACUAUCAGUUUUAUAUUUGGAAAGCUCUUUCCAAUCAACAUAAAUUGGAUCGAAAAGUAAUAAAAACCGAAUGGAAAAGUGAAGAAGAUGAAGUAGUUGAUUGAAAUUCAGUCGUAACAAUCACGAAAGUUGAAAUAAACUGGAACACGUAGAUCAAUAGAAGAGAGAGGAUAGAAGAACACACCUGGAAGUGAAUAAGAAGAAGAAGAAGAAGAAGAAGAAGAAGAAGAAGAAGAAGAAGAAGAAGAAGCAGAUUGGAUUGGAAAAAGGAGUGUAGUUUGGAUAUAAUAAUUAGUUGGAUCAAACAUAAACAUCCCCUAAGAGAGCAAAAAAAGGGGGCUUCAAAGUCAGUUGGUUUCUUCUUUUUGAUCAAAUUAAACUUGUAUUUUUUUUGCUCCCACCAUCUUAAUUAAACUGCCCCCCCUCUUCCUUUUUUUCUUUUCUUUUCAGCCCUUUUUGUCUUCCUUACUCUCUCUGUUUAUUUUAUUUAUUUUGUACCCUUAUUUGUUUCUCUUUCUCUCCUAUUGGUUUUUUCUUUGUCAUCUCUCUCUCUCUCUCUCUCUCUCUCUUAAAUGAAUAAUAUUUGUUUAUUUUAAAAUGGAAUGUGGGCUUAGUUUUGAAAUGGGUCAAGGCUAAAUAUGAUUGCAAUUUCAUGGCUGUGGUUUUUUGAAGCAUAGGGAUCUCUUUGCAAAUUAUUAUUAGUUUUGGUUUUAAUUUUGUGAUGUCAUUUUUCUUUUCAUGUGGUUUUUUCAAUAUAUGGUUGUGAUUAAAGUUGCCAAUCUUUCUCUCUUAUUAUUAUUUUUAUUUUAUAUAGUACUUGAUGAUGAUGAUGAUAUAAUCAAUGUCUCUGAUUAGGGAAAAAAAAUUUAAUUAUUUUUAUGAAUAUAAAAACUUAUCCUUAUCUGAUUGAUGUUAAUAGAUUUGUUUUGUUAUUUCAAAGUUUCAAAUUAAAUAACCAAUAGAAUGGAAAUUCUACAUGGAUCCCUUCUUCCUUUUUAGAAUUUUUGUGUCGUUUUGUUGUGGUAGUUUAAAUGGGGCUUCUUUCUUUCAUGACCUAUGUAACCUUUUCUCCAUUUGGAUUCAUUAUUUUGUUUUCUUUUUCUCUCUUUUAAGUUAAAUUAAAAAAAAAAUCGUCAAAAUUGUUGGAAUGACUUUCAAAUAUUUAAUUUUAAAAAUGGUGAAAAUAGAGUUUUUUUUUUUUCUUUUGCAAUUUUCCCUUAAAAAUUUAAGUGUAGUUUUAAUAAUCAUGCUUAAAAUAUAAACACUUUAAUUCACUAGAGAAAAAAAAAUAUAUUUCUUUAAAAAGUCAUUUUUAUCUAAUAAAUCUAAUAGAAACGGUUAAAAAUAAAAUCUAAAGUAUUUCCAAAGCUUUUUAUUAUUUUAUUAUUUUUUAUUGUUAGACAUUUGAUUAUUCUUUAAAUAACUUUUUUAAAAUUAAAAUAUUAAGGAAACGCACCUUUAAUUUAAUAAUUAAAAAUGAUUUAAUUUUUAAAAAUAAUUUUUCAUGAAACUAUCUAAAUAUUUUCUAAAUAUAUAUAUAUAUAUAUAUAUUAUAUAUAUAUAUAUAAAAAUAUAAACUUGUUUACCAUUUGUAGUAUAACUCAUCAUCCCUAGAGAAACAACAUGCUUAGUUUCAAGAGGAACAGAGUCCCCAAUUAUAUUCGUUUUACGUUUUUUUCAAUUAUUUAAUUAUUUAGUGAUUAUUGUUUUUUGUUUUUUUUGUAAAGUUAUGAAAGAAUUUGGGGAAUGUCUAUUUGGUGAUUGGGGCCAACCAAUUUCCCAAAUAGCAUCUCCCACUUCCAUGGUUGCCAUGUAGUGUUUUCAUGAAGAGACAUCCAAGUGCUACCUAUAUAUAUAUAUAUAUAUAUAUAUUAUUUUUAUAAAACACUGUUAAAAUUCAUUCUUUAUUUCAACCCACUUAAUUUUCUACUUCUUUUUAGAUAUUACAGAUCUAAUUAAUUCAUAUUCCCAUAUCCUACAUAUUAUAUAUAAAAUGUUCCACACAAUCAAUUUUGGUCAAUGUAUAUAGGCUUUAAUCUAACUUUUCUAGAGUUGUAAUUUAAAAAUAAAAAAUUAUGUUACACGAUAUAUACUAAUAAUCAUAUGGCUUAAAAUUUUCAAAACUAUUUAAAAAAGUAAAGUUUUAAAUUGAUUGUAGUGUUUUUAUUAGCCUUGUUUGAUUGCAAUUGUUAUCUAGAACAACUUAAGUGAUUCUUCACACGGAAAAACGAGUAGGAAACGAAGUGGUGGAUAAUGUAUUAAAGAAAAGAUGGGAUAAGCAUAAAAAGGAAAAAAUAAAUGAAUAAUUAGGCAUGAUGGAGGAAUUGUAUGUGUGUAUAAAGUAAAGGAAAGAAAGUGGGAGGCAAUUGGGAUUUAUUUAAUGUAGGUUGGGUUGGGUGAUUGGAUUCCAUAUUGGUUUAUAUAUAUAUAUAUAUAUAUAUAUAAUAUAAUUUAUUCUAUGCUUAUUCAAAUUUGUAUGGAAUGUCACCAAUUUCAUCUUCUUUGUUAUUACUUCUCUAAGUGGGUUUCUAAAGUGCUUUCCCACUUACAAUGGCUUCUCUCUCUCUCUCUCUCUCUCUUUCUUAGAUUCAUUAACAAGAAUGAGAAUUUAGAUUCCAUGUCACUUCUCAACUUGCCCUAUGAUGCUAUUUUCUUUUUCUUCAUUUUCAAACCAUUUAUUAAAUUAAUUGUUGUAGAUAUGUCUAUUUUAUGAUCAUUUGAUUUUAAGCGUUCUAUAUUAGUACAAUAAUGACAACAAUUUUUUUCCAUGAAUAGCCUAGUAUCUUAUAUUAUUACAUAAAACUCCGUCUCAAAAGUUCAUAAUACCUAAUUUGAUUUAUAGUAUUUUCUAUUGGAAAAUAGAAAGAGAAACAAAUAUGGAAAAAUUGGGAAGCAAUGCGUCUUAAAAUAGUUUUUUCUUUUCAAAAUUUUCAUAACUUUUAAGCAAAAUUGCAUUCCCAUUGGGUUUUUUUGUCCAAUAAUUUUUUAAUGUUGACUUAAAAUUCAAAAUCGUCUUAUUUGGUGAGUUGGAAUUUUUUGAUUUCAGAUAUAUAUCAGAUUUAUUUCAAAUAAUACAUACAAGGUUUAUUUCAAAUAUAUUUAGAACAAUUACAGAUUUAAGGUUAUUAUAUAAUGUAUAUCAAUACCAUAUUCUAUAGUUUUUGUCUUCAUUCUACUUAAGAUAUAUAUUUCACUUUAUCACAUGUAUUUAAUAUAUUUAGUCAUUUUGCAAAUAUAUACUACAUUUUAUAUAAUAAUAAUAUUAGAGCAAAUUGUAAAAAUCAACGUUAAAACAUGAUAAUUGAAUUUCAAAAUUUAAGAGAUAAAUAUUAUUUAAGUCAAGGAAUAAAAUAAUACUCAUAAAACCAUAAACCAAAUAUUCAUUACAAGAUAUAGUAUUAAAUAUUGUUAAUUCAAUUUUAAUAUAUAAUAAAGUUUUAUUGCAAUUAAAUGUUAAGGAUUUUAAAACUUUAAUAAGGGAUAUAAUAAGUAUUAAGGUUAAAUUUCUCUAAAAUUAUGUCAAAAUGUAGAUAUGAAACAUAUUACAAUAUUAGGAAACUUAUCAAAUAUCAAGUUUAUUUUUUCUCAAAUUCCCUGGGGUACUUUGUAUACUUCUUAAAUUCUUAGCUAAGUUUUAAAAACUAUUUAUUCUAUAUAUUUCAAAUAUUUUGAUUGAAAAUUUUACACAUUAAUAAAUAGUAGAUAACAAAUGUCUAGUUAGUAAAUUUUUCUUUUUAGCUUUUGAAAAUUAAGUUUACCUUCUCACAUUUUCUUAUUUUUCAAGCAUAAGAAUCCAAUAAAGUUUCAAAAUUAUUUUUUGAUUAUAAAAAUUUAAAGUGAAAGAUGUAUUUGUAAUUUAAUUGAAAAAAGAAAAAAAUAAUAAUGACUAAAGAUAAAGUUAAGUUUAGUCUUUAUAUUUAUUAGGAAAAAAAGUCAGUCAUGUUUACUUUAAUUCUAACAAGAAUACUAAACGUAUACGAUUUAACUAUUGAGAUGAAAGUAUUGAAUUGUAAUAACACAAAAUAUAUUAAUUAAAAGGUAAGAAGAUUCUAAUUGUUUUCUUUUAAAUUUUUUUUUUGACAUGUUCAGAUUAAUUGAAUAUAUGAACUAUUUAAUUCAGUUCAUGAAUGAUACUUUGAUAUUUAAUUGAUAGUCUUUAUAUUUAAGUUUGUUAAUUUUAGUUAUUGUUAUUGCAUUAAUCUUAAAUUUAUUUAUUUAUUUAAAUCUUAUUUCUUUAUCAAAUCGGAUAAACAGUAAUAAUAUUUUUUUUUAGAAAAACGAAUAUAUUAAUAUUUGUAUUGAGUCUAUUGAUAAGAUUAUAUUAAUCUCUUUAUUAUAUAUAUACAAUGUGAUAUAUACUUGUUCCUAUCGAAUAAUUUUCCAAAAAAGAAAUAAUAUAACUAAACUUAAACUACACUAAUUUAAAAUGUCAAAAAGGGAAAAAAAGAGUGUGUAAAACACAUUUAAAAUGGGAACUUAUUAAAGUAAGAUUGAUACAAUUAUGCCUUGAUGUGAAGAAGGCAUUGGCUAAUGAAUAUAUUCUCAUUUCCAUGGUGAUGUAGUUAAAGUAUUAUUUUGUUCUUUAAAAAAAACAAUACCAAUUUUAACUAAUUCUUCAACGUUGUAGCAUCCAAAAAUGUUCAAAAUAAGUAGUUCAAUUGAUAUUAUAUUUAUACUAUCGACUUUAAAGUCAAUGAUUCAAUUUCUCACUCUAUAUAUUAUAAAAAGAAAAUAAUAAUAAUAAUAAAACAAUCAAAUUAUAGAUUCUACAAAGAUUGAUCUAUAAAGAGAUUAUUAAAAAAAUGAAAAACAACCCUCUUUUUACAUUUAUGAGUUGGUUCAAUAUUUCUUUUUAAAAUUUUAAAUUAUUGCUAGAAGGAUGACUCAAAAUUAUAGAUCUUUUAUAUAGUAAUAUAGUAAUGUUUUGAAUUAUUAAAUUCACUUUUAGAUUUUUUUUCUUUAGAAAAGAGAUAUAAGAAAAUAUAUAUCCUAUGCUAAAUUAGAAAACUUUUAAAUCAUGAAACUGCAAAAUAAUUAACCACGUUAAAUUGUAAGCAAUAAAAUAUUAAUAUUCCCAAUAAUGUAGGAGAGAAAAAUGUCUGAAAGUCUAAGUUAUCCCAAUCUAAAUAAUAAAAUAAAACAAAAUGAUUACAAUUGGCCACAAUUUUCAAAAAAAGAAAACAAAGGAGUUGAUUAUUUAAAAAACUAAUUCAAAAUUAAAAUCAAACCAACAUAUUUAAAACAAUCUACAUUUAGUUAUAUAAUUUAAAAUAAAAGCCAAAAUUCUUACCUUCCAUUAUCUCUUUUUCCAUAUUAUAGAUUCGAAUAUAUCUUCAUCCGUCGUUAAAAGAGGAUUGUAAUGUUUACAAUAUAUAUAUAUAUAUAUAUAUAAUGAGAAUGAGAAUAAAAAGUUAUUUUUUUCUAUUAAAAAAAAGAAAAGGUUGAAAGGCUUAGGACAAGUAGGAAGCCAUAUAUAUAUAAAUAAAAAAGUAAUGAAGCUAAUUAUGUGAUUAAAAGAAGGGUAGAAUUGGGUUGGAACCAAUAAGGAAAUGAAACGUGGCAAAUGGGACCAUAAUUUAAAUAGGGAAAAAUAGUUGCCUAGGAGUUGUAAACUGAUAAUAUUGACGUGGUGUGGUUAAUUAAAUAAUGUUUAGGGCUUGGGGGCAAGAUUUGUUGUGUUAAGGGCUCGUUUUGAGACUUCGAAAAGCCAUUUGGACGUGACUAUUGGAAAAUGAAACCAAACAACUUUUAAAUAUUAUUUAUUAUUCCACACUUUACUUUUUUUAUUUCUCAGAUGGAUCUCAACUUUUCAUACCUUUUUCUUUAUAUAUAUAUAAAAAAUACUUACCAUCUAAUUUUAUUUUCUUUCAAAUCAUAUACGUGUAUAUGUUAGACAUCCUUUUUUUCGUUCUAUUCCUCUUAUUUUUGUUAUUUGAUUCUGUUUACUAAAAUAUUCAGAUCGACUGAACUAAAAUUCUUAAAAUCUCUAUUUAUAUUUAAAGAUAUCGUAUUCUAAACUUUGAGCUGUAUUGCUAUUUGGUCUACAUUCUUAGUUGCAUUUACAAAAUGCUUAUAUGGUAUGAUUGCUAUAAUGAAAAAUAGAUAGCUGUGUAUGCUUAAACCAUGUUUGUUUUACAAGUAAUUUAAGUAAUGGUUGAAUUUGAAAGGGAAGAAAAAAAAAUACACAUUCAAUUAAAUUAAAAAAGAACAAAUCUUAACAGAGAAAAUAUCUUAUUUAUGAAAUAUUAUAAGAGAUCACAAAUCUAAAUAAUAAUAAUGAUGAUGAUUUGAGUACUUUUAUGAAUUAUUAUAAUUUUUAUCCAUUUAUUUCUUAAGUAUUAAUUGAUGUCAGAGAGUAAUAUUAUAGAAAUUGAUAGCUGUAUGAGUAUGAAUAUAAGUAAGUAUUUUUUGUAGACUUGAGUGAAACGUUGAAAAAGCAAAUCAAAAUUUAUUAUAACCCACCAAUAAAACAUGACAUUUCAAAUAAAUCUAAUUGAUGGAUGAAAUUAAUGCUCUACUAUUGUAACACCACUUUCUAUAACUUGUUUUCUUUUUAUCAACAAUAUAAUAUAGUUUCUUGUUAAUCUAAAAUGAUGAAUGUGACAAUUAAUUUAAUUAUAGGGUGACAUCAUUGUUCUUCUUUUUAAAAAAGUUUGCAGAGUUAGGAUAUCAAAAUGGUCCUAUUUCUUAUUUCAAGAUUUUGAAUCAAUAAAUUAUUAAUAAUACACAAAUUGAAUUGAAUUAGGUGACUAAUAUUUUAAAAAUCAAAAUUUAUGGGCUUCUAAGAAUAUUAAAUUUUAAUUAAUCAAAUGAUUAAUGUUGAUAAUUUAUGAGGAGCGGUCACUUUUACCAUUUACACUUCUAUAAACUAUUGUUGAAUUUUUGAUGAAGUGAUAUCUUCAUUUAAAAUAUAACUACAAUGAACUUUGUUGAUAUACUCUUAUUUUGAGGUACAAUUCACCAACUGUGGAAAUAAUAAUCAUGAAAAUAGUUGUACAUGUACAUUGCAUCCAUUUUUAAAUAUUAUGAAACUUAUUUUUUUUUAAAAAAAAUUAUGCAGUACAUAGUUAUGUUGAACCAACGAACUGAUCGAGUUUGUGAAAACAUUGAAAACAUUUCUAUAUUGGACUUUUACAAAAAAAUGAUGACAACCAUUUAAAAAGGUAUGAAUUUUUUUAUUUUUUUGAAAAAAUUAAAGAUGAUUAUUAUGCAAAAUCCAAUCCUAUAUAGGUUAAAGAAAUUUAUAUUUAUAACACUUUACAUUAGAAAUAUUUCUUUGAAGAUGGUUUUUAAACUAAUCAAUUUUUAGAUUUCUUUUUGAUAUCAUUUAUAUACAAACUUUAUUGAACACAAUUUCAUUUAAUUAAUUCUUUUUUUGUAAGUGUUCAUACAAAAGUUAAUCAUGUUUUCGCAAAGCUACUCUAAAUAUGUUUUUAUUUUUUAUUUUUUGAAUUAUAAAUUAUUGCAAACAUGCUUGCAAUCUAUUAUUUAUAUAUAUAUAUCUCGGACGUUAGACUUUGCUUGAUUGAUUCAAUUUUUAUUUUUUAUUUGCCUAGAUAAAAAUUGAUUGAAUUAAAUUCUUAAUUAGAAAAAUGAGAAGUUGUAGGUAUAUUUCAACUGCAUAUAAGAGGAAUGAUAUUUGGUUGUAUUUUGGAUAAAAUUGAAAUCAUAUUAAUGUGCCCUAAAUACUUUGGGGCCGGGUUUGAGGUAUAUUGUUUAUGAUUAAAUUUGUGAUGAGUGUUUUGAAUUCUAUAAUUGACUCAAUGCACUCUCUGUUAAAUUAACCACACAUUCUUUCUUUCUUUUAUAUUUUUUUACAACGUAAAACUAUUUUGAAAUAAUUAGUAUUGUUAUUGCUUUUGGUAAAGUAAAUUAACCACAUCAUGGAGAUUAAAGAUACAAGGGACUUCCGUAAAAGAGGAGUAGUUCAAAAAGGAAUGUUUUCAACAAUUAUUUGUUCGUGAAAGAAUAAAAUUAACAUCGACCUUGACCUUUGAGUUUUCACGUUUGUUACACACUUUAGGCUGUAUAUGCUUUCAUUUUUUAUUCUCCUUUAAUUUGAGACAUCAUUUUUAGUCAACACAACCAUUUUAUUUGAUGUCAUGACCCUUUCUUCCUCUGCUUGUAUUUAGAGAACAAACAAACAUGCACGGGCCACUUGUUACAAAUAGAGAGAGAGAGAGUGAGAGAAAACCCUACUUUUGCUAAAUAAUCUAAAUUUAACAACUAAAAUUGCUAUAAAAUGGUCUUCUCCUUUCCUCACACCAUAAAGCCCAUAACAAAAAAAAAAAAAGACUUACAGAAAGCUAAAACUAAAAAAUGGCAAAAAACAUUAUGGUUGUUUUCUUUAUGUGCAUUGUUGUGAUGGGAUCACUACAAUUCUCCAAGGCACAGACGACCGCUAACAUGAGCCCAGAUCUUCAGGCGGCCGAGAAGAUCAAAAGUAUCACCGAAGGAAUGAAACUAUGGCCUCAAAUGGAAUCAUGUGUACUAACAUGCAGGAAAGAAUGUGAUGCAAAAGGCGAUGCCAAUGCUUCAUGUCAUCAGAAAUGCAACAAUGAUUGCACGGAAAAGACUAUUGGUAUUUUCUUCAAUCUCAACAGAAAUGUUUGUUUUCUUUAAGACAAUAAUUAAUUUUUUAAGUGAGAUAAAUUUUAGUUGCAAGGCAAAAUUUAACCUUUAUUCAUGAAAUUAGUGGGUUUGAUAAGAUUCGCAUUCCUUACUUUAAUAGUUUUGAUGCUAGAAAUUGAGGGAAUCGUAGAGUCGAAAUUUUAGAAUGAAAACUCAUCCAAAAAAAAUUUGAUUGUUUAUUUCUUUCAACUUAAUGUUUUUUUUUUUUUGUUAAUUUGAUUUUUUAUUCAUUUGUUUUGCAGCAUCAGUCAAGAACUAACUUCCCAUUGAUAAUUGACCAUGGAAUUAUUAAAGCAGAGAUCGGGAAAAUGAUCGGAUCAAGUAUAAAUUAUUUGAAUAAUUAGCAUUUCAACAAGGAAAAUCUAAAUUCCUUGACCCUCUUGUCGUCCAAUUUUAUUGCUUAUUUAUACAAAGGUUUUAUCCUUACAUAUCGUUGUGUGCUUCUUUCAUAAUUGUUGUCAACAACGAGAUCAAUAAAAUUCAUUUAGUUUAAGUGUUUAUUCACGUAACCUUUCUAUCAUUUUACAUUUAUUAUAUAAUCCUAACGUAUAGAAGAAAUUUUAUAAAUAUAUUACAGUACUAUUCAAGUUGCGAGUUCUUUUGUCACAUGUGUUUGUUUAAUAUUCAUUUGUAGUUUUUGAUAUAUUAUUAAAGUGAUAUGAUAUGUUCUACUGCUUUUAUUUUAAUUACAAUUUCAACAGAAGUUUAUAAUUUUCAAUUGGUAUUUCAUAGCCUUUGGAUUGGAAAAAAAAAUAAAGAGAAAAUUGGAGACGGGGAGAUGGGUUGAGAAAAUUAGGAAAUUGGUGAAGAACAUAUGAAGGGAGAAAUUGAUUAAAGAAACAAAAAAAAUGUUAUUAGGUAAACAUCCAUUGAAAUUUAUUCUUAAUUACAUGAAGAUUCAUUUUUAUUUUAAUCAUGAUUGAUACAAAUUUCCAUUCUAUUCUAAUCGUGAUUGUUUCGUUCUCCUCUAUUUUUAUUUCAAAAGUAAAAUAAAAAAUUCAUUUCUUGUAUUUGACACUUUGAUUAAAAUUAAUUAAUCUUUGUUAGCUUCAAUUUUAAUACAACCAAAGUUUUUAGCUUUAAAAAAUUCAUUACAAAUGAGGCUCCAGUGCAUAUACAUCACUUUGUAUUAGAAAUCUUCUUCGUAUAUAUAAAACAAAACAAACACUAUUGAAAAUUGUUGUGAAUAAUAUUCAUAUGAAUUAUACUUCAAAACCUCAUGCAAACUUCUGAUUUUAGUUACCAAAUUAUAAACCUUACAAUUCUCCUUUUCUUAGGCUUAUACUUAAUUCCCAAAUCUCUCCUAUAGAUGAGACUAAAGUACACUGGCACAUCAAAGAUUGAGUUUCAAUUUUAGGUACAAUCGGAUAACUAACUGAGAAUCCGACUUUGAGAUAUUCCAUUUAUUUAGAGGAAAAUUUGUUGCAAUUUCGUCCAAGAAAAUAAAUCUCAAAUAUAUUCGUCAUUCACACGAAUACCUCUAGGAUGAUCACGUUUUGUUAGAUCAUAGGGGAUAAUUAAUUUUUGUUGGUUUAUUUAUUUAUCUAUUAUAAAACAUCCGCCUCCAUCAUAAAUUUAGAAUGGUGCCAAAAGUCACGAAAGUUCACAUCUAACUACUGGGUGGCCUCAUUUUGAGAGUUAUUAAGAUUUAUUGCCCAUAAAUGCGGAAGAAAAUAUACCAGAGAGUCAGUUUUUAUUUUCAUCCCAAAACGUUGAAGAAAAGGUCAAUGCUAUAGUCUGCGAAGAAAUGACCCAAUCUAGAAUGGUGCCAAAGGUCUCGAAAGUUCACAUCAAACUACUGGGUGGCCUCAUGUUGAGUGACAUUAUAGUUUCUUGCCAACAAAAGCCGAAAAAAUAUACCUGAGAGUCGGUUCUUAUUUUGGUCCCAAAACGUUUAAAACUGAGUCAAUGCUAUAGUCUGCGAAGAAAAGACCCAAUUUAGAACGAUGCCAAAGGUCUCGAAAGUUCACAUCUAACUACUGGGUGGUUUCAUCUUGAGUGACAUUAAAGUUUCUUGCCCAUAAAAGUCAAAGAAAAUAUGCCCGUAAGUUGAUUUUAAUUUUCGUCCCAAAACGUUGAAAAAAGGGCCAAUGCUACAUCCUGAGAAGAAAGGACCCGAUUUAGAACAGUGCCAUAGGUAUCAAAAGUUCACAUCUAACUACUGGGUGGUCUCAUCUUGAGUGACAUUAAAAUUUCUUGUCCAUAAAAGUCGAAGAAAAUAUGCCGUAAGUCGAUUUUUAAUUUCGUCCCAAAACGUUGAAAAAAGGGCCAAUGCUACAGCCUGAGAAGAAAGGACCCGAUUUAGAAGAGUGUCAUAGGUAUCAAAAGUUCGCAUCUAACUACUAGGUGGUCUCAUCUUGAGUGACAUUAAAGUUUCUUGUCCAUAAAAGUCGAAGAAAAUAUGCCCGCAAGUCGAUUUUUAUUUUCGUUCCAAAACGUUGAAAAAAUGGCCAAUGCUACAGCCUGAGAAGAAAGGACCCGAUUUAGAACAGUGUCAUAGGUAUCAAAAGUUCACAUCUAACUACUGGGUGGUCUCAUCUUGAGUGACAUUAAAGUUUCUUGCCCAUAAAAGCAUAAGAAAAUAUGCCUGAGAGUCGGUUUUUAAUUUCGUCCCAAAACGUUGAAAAAAGGGCCAAUGCCAAAAUCUGAGAAUAAAGGACCAACUUAGAACGGUGCCAAAGGUCUCGAGGGUUCACAUCAAAUUACUGGGUGGCCUCAUGUUGAGUGACAUUAUAGUUUCUUGCCAACAAAAGCCAAAAAAAUAUGCUUGAGAUUCGUUUCUUAUUUCGGUCCCAAAACGUUGAAAAAUGGGCCAAUGCUAUUGCCUACGAAGAAAGGACCCAAUUUAGAUCGGUGUCGAACGUCUCGAAAAUUCACAUCUACCUACUGGAUGAUCUCGUUUUGAGUGACAUUAAAGAUUCUUGCCCAUGAAAGCCGAAGAAAAUAUGCCGAGAGUCGGUUUUUAAUUUCGUCCCAAAAUGUUGACGAAAGGGCCAACGCUAUAACUUGCAAAGAAAUGACCCAAUUUACAACGUUGUCAAAGGUCUCGAAGGUUCACAUCUAACUACUGGGUGACCUCAUGUUGAGUGACAUUAAAGUUUCUUGCCCACAAAAGCCGAAAAAAAUAUGUCUGAGAGUCGAUUCUUAUUUUGGUCCUAAAACGUUGAAAAAUGGGCGAAUGUUAUAGCCUACGAAGAAAUGACCCAAUUUAGGACGGUGCCGAAGUCUCGAAAAUUCACAUCUAACUACUAGGUGAUAUCGUUUUAAGUGACAUUAAAGUUUCUUCCCACAAAAAGCCGAAAAAAAUAUGUUCGAGAGUCGACUUUUAUUUUAAUCCUGAAAUGUUGAAAUAGGAGCCAAUGCUAUAGCCUACGAGAAAAGGAUCCAAUUUAGAAUGAUGCCGAAGUUCUGGAAAAUUCAUAUUUAACUACCGUGGUCUCGUUUUGAGUGACAUUAAAGUUUCUUGGCCACAAAAGUAAAAAAAAAAAAAAAAAAGCCCGAGAGUCGGAUUUUACUUUCGUCCGAAAACGUUGAAAAAUGGGUCAGUGCUAUAACUGACGAAAAAAAGGACUCAAUUUAGAACGGUGCCAAAGGUCUAAAAAAUUCACAUCUAACUACUGGGUGGUCUCGUUUUGAGUGACAUUAAAGUUUCUUUCCCACAAAAGACAAAAAAAAAAAAAAAUGUCUAGGAUUCGAUUUUUACUUUAGUUCUAAAACGUUAUAAAAGGGGCGAAUACUAUAGCCUACGACGAAAGGACCCAAUUUAGAACGGUACCAAAGAUCUCGAAAAUUUACAUCUUAACUAUUGGGUGAUCUUGUUUUAAGUGACAUUAAAGUUUCUUGCCCCAAAAGUCGAAAAAAAAUAUGCCCGAGAGUCGGUUUUUACUUUCGUCCCUAAAACGUUGAAAAAUGGGCAAAUGCUAUAGCCUACGAAGAAAUGAUCCAAUUUAGAAUGGUGCUACAGGUCUGACAAAUUGAAUCUAACAACUGGUUGGUCUCAUUUUGAGUGACAUUAAAGUUUUUUGCCCACAAAAGUCGAAAAAAAAAUAUGUCCGAGAGUCGGUUUUCACUUUCAGCCAAAACAUUGAAAAAUGGGGCCAAUGCUAUAGUCUACCAGGAAAGGACUCAAUUUAGAACGGUGUCAAAGGUCUCAAAAAAUCACAUCUAACUACUGGAUGGUCUCGUUUUGAGUGAGAUUAAAGUUUUUUGCCCACAAAAGCCGUAAAAAAAUAUGCCAGAGAGUCGAUUAUUACUUUCGUCCCAAAACAUUGAAAAAAGGGCAACGUUAUAGCCUGCGAAGAGAGGACCCAAUUUCGAACGGUGUCAAAAGUCUCCAAGGUUUACAUCUAACAACUGGGUGGCCUCAUGUUGAGUGACAUUAAAGUUUCUUGUGUACAAAAGUCGAAAAAAAAUAUGUCUGAGAGUCGGUUCUCAUUUUGGUUCCAAAACGUUGAAAAAAGUGUCAAUGCUAUAGCCUACGAAGAAAAGAUCCAAUUUAGAACGGUGCCGAAGGUCUCAAAAAUUCACAUCUAACUACUCGGUGGUCUCGUUUUAAGUGACAUUAAAGUUCUUUGUCCACAAAAGCCGAAAAAAAAAAAGUCUGAGAGUUGAUUUUUAAUUUCGUCCCAAAACGUCAAAAUAAGGGACAAUGCAGCCCACGAAAUAAAGAUCAAAUUUAGAAGAAUGUCGAAAGUCUCGAAAAUUCAUAUCUAACAAGUGAGUGGUCUCGUUUUGAGUGACAUUAAAGUUUGUUGCACACAAAAGCCAAAAAAAAAAACAAAACCCAAAGUCGAUUUUUAUUUUUGCUCCAAAACGUUAUAAAAGGGGCCAAUGCUAUAGCCUAUGAAGAAAGGACCCAAUUUUGAACGGUGCCAAAGUUUUCAAAAAUUCACAUAUACCUACUGGGUUGUCUCGUUUGAGUGACAUUAAAGUUUCUUGCCCACAAAAGCUGAAAAAAAUAUGCCCGAGAGUCGAUUUUUAUUUUCGUCCAAAAGCGUUGAAAAGUUGGUCAAUGCUAUAGCCUACGAAGAAAGGUUGCUUGUAUGUAGAAAAUGUUCCAUGUAUUCUUGCAUUUCUUUGUUGAACCACCUGCCCUCUACAAAACAAACCAUUUGGACGGUAAAAGUAUUACCUUUCUCUUUUAGUAACAAUUUUAAGAUCAGUUUACUUUCAAUUGGUAAUUCAUACUGUAAAGAGAAAAAUGAAAGUUUGUUAAGAUGAUAGAAGAAUAUUCGUCUUUGAAUGCAAAAUAAUAAAGAGAAAAUUCGAGAUGGGGAGAUGGGUUGGAAAAAUUAGGAAAUUGGUGAAAGAUAUAGGAAGGGAGAAAAUGGUAAAAAGAAAAAAAAAGAACGUUCUUAGGUAAAAAUUGAUUGAAUUAAAUUCUUAAUUAGAAAAAUGAGAAGUUGUACGUAUAUUUCAACUGCAUAUAAGAGGAAUGAUAUUUGGUUGUAUUUUGGGUAAAAUUGAAAUCAUAUUAAUGUGCCCUAAAUACUUUGGGGCCGGGUUUGAGGUAUAUUGUUUAUGAUUAAGUUUGUGAUGAGUGUUUUGAAUUCUAUAAUUGACUCAAUGCACUCUCUAUUAAAUUAACCACACUUCUUUCUUUCUUUUAUUUUUUUACAACGUAAAACUAUUUUGAAAUAAUUAGUAUUGUUAUUGCUUUUGGUAAAGUAAAUUAACCACAUCAUGGAGAUUAAAGACACAAGGGACUUCCGUAAAAGAGGAGUAGUUCAAAAAGGAAUGUUUUCAACAAUUAUUUGUUCGUGAAAGAAUAAAAUUAACAUCGACCUUGACCUUUGAGUUUUCACGUUUGUUACACACUUUAGGCUGUAUAUGCUUUCAUUUUUUAUUCUCCUUUAAUUUGAGACAUCAUUUUUAGUCAACACAACCAUUUUAUUUGAUGUCAUGACCCUUUCUUCCUCUGCUUGUAUUUAGAGAACAAACAAACAUGCACGGGCCACUUGUUACAAAUAGAGAGAGAGAGAGUGAGAGAAAACCCUACUUUUUGCUAAAUAAUCUAAAUUUAACAACUAAAAUUGCUAUAAAAUGGUCUUCUCCUUUCCUCACACCAUAAAGCCCAUAACAAAAAAAAAAAAAAAAGACUUACAGAAAGCUAAAACUAAAAAAUGGCAAAAAAACAUUAUGGUUGUUUUCUUUAUGUGCAUUGUUGUGAUGGGAUCACUACAAUUCUCCAAGGCACAGACGACCGCUAACAUGAGCCCAGAUCUUCAGGCGGCCGAAAAGAUCAAAAGUAUCGCCGAAGGAAUGAAACUAUGGCCUCAAAUGGAAUCAUGUGUACUAACAUGCAGGAAAGAAUGUGAUGCAAAAGGCAAUGCCAAUGCUUCAUGUCAUCAGAAAUGCAACAAUGAUUGCACGGAAAAGACUAUUGGUAUUUUCUUCAAUCUCAACAGAAAUGUUUGUUUUCUUUAAGGCAAUAAUUAAUUUUUUAAGUGAGAUAAAUUUUAGUUGCAAGGCAAAAUUUAACCUUUAUUCUUGAAAUUAGUGUGUUUGAUAAGAUUCGCAUUCCUUACUUUAAUAGUUUUGAUGCUAGAAAUUGAAGGGAUCGUAGAGUCGAAAUUUUAGAAUGAAAACUCAUCCAAAAAAAAUUGAUUGUUUAUUUCUUUCAACUUAAUGUUUUUUUUUUUUGUUAAUUUGAUUUUUUAUUCAUUUGUUUUGCAGCAUCAGUCAAGAACUAACUUCCCAUUGAUAAUUGACCAUGGAAUUAUUAAAGCAGAGAUCGGGAAAAUGAUCGGAUCAAGUAUAAAUUAUUUGAAUAAUUAGCAUUUCAACAAGGAAAAUCUAAAUUCCUUGACCCUCUUGUCGUCCAAUUUUAUUGCUUAUUUAUACAAAGGUUUUAUCCUUACAUAUCGUUGUGUGCUUCUUUCAUAAUUGUUGUCAACAACGAGAUCAAUAAAAUUCAUUUAGUUUAAGUGUUUAUUCACGUAACCUUUCUAUCAUUUUACAUUUAUUAUAUAAUCCUAACGUAUAGAAGAAAUUUUAUAAAUAUAUUACAGUACUAUUCAAGUUGCGAGUUCUUUUGUCACAUGUGUUUGUUUAAUAUUCAUUUGUAGUUUUUGAUAUAUUAUUAAAGUGAUAUGAUAUGUUCUACUGCUUUUAUUUUAAUUACAAUUUCAACAGAAGUUUAUAAUUUUCAAUUGGUAUUCAUAGCCUUUGGAUUGGAAAAAAAAAAUAAAGAGAAAAUUGGAGACGGGGAGAUGGGUUGAGAAAAUUAGGAAAUUGGUGAAGAACAUAUGAAGGGAGAAAUUGAUUAAAGAAACAAAAAAAGAAUGUUAUUAGGUAAACAUCCAUUGAAAUUUAUUCUUAAUUACAUGAAGAUUCAUUUUUAUUUUAAUCAUGAUUGAUACAAAUUUCCAUUCUAUUCUAAUCGUGAUUGUUUCGUUCUCCUCUAUUUUUAUUUCAAAAGUAAAAUAAAAAAUUCAUUUCUUGUAUUUGACACUUUGAUUAAAAUUAAUUAAUCUUUGUUAGCUUCAAUUUUAAUACAACCAAAGUUUUUAGCUUUAAAAAAUUCAUUACAAAUGAGGCUCCAGUGCAUAUACAUCACUUUGUAUUAGAAAUCUUCUUCGUAUAUAUAAAACAAAACAAACACUAUUGAAAAUUGUUGUGAAUAAUAUUCAUAUGAAUUAUACUUCAAAACCUCAUGCAAACUUCUGAUUUUAGUUACCAAAUUAUAAACCUUACAAUUCUCCUUUUCUUAGGCUUAUACUUAAUUCCCAAAUCUCUCCAUUAGAAGAGACUAAAGUGCACUGGCACAUGCACAUCAAAGAAGAGGUCAUCUAUAUAUAUAGAAAAAAUAAUAUAGAAUACGUAUAAUCCAUCCCACAAAUUUUUUUUCUUCAUACAGAAAAUAAUAAAUUUUGAUAGAUUACUUGUAUUUAAUAUAUUGAAAUGUUUGAAAUUAAAGUUUGAUUAUGGUUUAAUUAUGAUGAUUAAAAGGGUAUAGAAUAGAUAUAAAAAUAAGGGUCUUUUUUGGUUUUGUAGGGGAAAUAGAAUGGUGAAGGGUGAAGGGUGAAGGGUGAAGGGGGGGUUUUGUUUUGUGUAAAUUUAAAUGUGUAUUUGUGUUUAAAAGAAAAUUGGUUGCUUUUGUGGGCAAAGUAUUCGGAUUUGAGAGGGAAAUAUUGAAUUCCAUUUAAGGAAAGUGAUUGGGUUCCGUUUUGGUGCAUUAGUCAAUUUUCAAAAUUCCAAAAAUUAAAGUUGAUUGAAGGAGAGAGAUAUUGUGAGAAUUAAAACCCAUUCCCCAUUGGGACACAAUUUGACAUCACACUUCAUUUCCACCAUUAUUAGUUCUUUUUUUCUUUUAAGAAGUUCUUUUUUCAAUAUUUCAUUUCAAUAUUUUAUUGGGCGAGAGAAUAAUCAUUAAGGUUAAUGACAACUGUCUCUGUUAAUACGACAUAUUUUGGGAUAAAACUAAAAGCAAAGUUAUGUAGGUGUAUAUUCAAAGUAGACAAUAUCAUAUCAUUAUGGACAUGUGAAUGAGUUAUCUAGAAAACGUGUCCUUUCCUUUAUCAUAAGAACUUAAUUAUCCAUGUUGAACUCUUUUUCGUUGCUUAUAUAUAUUUAUCCUUAAAAACACAUGCUCUCAUAUAUUCUUAAUAGAUAAGAUUUCACUAAAGAACUAAAAAUGAAACUAAUUAUAAAAACAAUAAACAUUCCACUUUGUUAAAGAGAUGUCAAGAACAAUGAGACUAAUAAUGAUAAUUAAAGAAAAAUGUUCAUAUUAAACAAAGGGUAUAGGGAAGUGAUCAUAACUUAAUCUCAAAGCUUCCUCUUCCCCAUUCAUGCAUAACACUUUUCAUUCCACACUAUUAAUUGAGUAAUCCUAUUGAUUAGGAAAUAAACAAUCACAAUAUGAAAGUUAAGCUCAAUGGAGUCCAAACCAAGUUAUAAACCUAAUCAUGUCAUGAGGGCAAUUAUUAUGCUGCAAGUUUCAAUGACGGGUUACAAACAAAAUAAUUAAAAGACUACGUAUCAAUUAUAUUGUGGAAUGCUCACUUUGAAGCUAAGUUAUCUAUCAAAGUUUAAGAGUCCAAUUCAUAUUCAAGUUUGAUACGGCAAUUCAGAGUAUUGUUCAUAUUAACGGAAGUCAAUUAUUCAAAUUCUAAUAAUCUAACUUCAUUCACUUUUUUAAAUGUUUUACUUAAUUUAAUUUGUAUAUUUUUCAUUCACGAAGGUUCACAUAUGAAAUAGAAAAUUUUGUUGGAAUUUUUUGUCCUAAAACUCGUAGUUUGUAAAUCAUAUUCUAUUCAAUAAAGUUGUUAUUGAGAAAUUAAAAUAUUAUAAUCUUAAAUCCAAUAAAUCAAAGUUCCAAGGCUAUUUUUUGAAUAAACUUGAACUUUAUGUGUAAACAUAAACGUGGAUCAAGUUCGAGUAUAUAGCCUAAAUAGUCUAUAGUAUAUGAAAUAAAGGUUGGGCGCCUUAUUUUGAGAGACUAUGGAUGCGGCCCACUUUGUAGUACAAACGAUGUGAUCCUAAUCGUUCAUGUAGAGACAUGAAAGUGGGGGCAUCCUAUGUAAAAUGUUUACAUAAGACUGAACCAUGAAUUAGUCAUUUUUACGUUAUAACACCGUUUACUGUUUAAAACUGACUAUCUCAAUUAUUGAUGACCUAGGUAACUUAGUCUUAAUCCUGAGUUAACUAUGAACUCCUGUUCAUACGAGAUUAUCUUUAGAUCUGCAUAGGUGAGGGCAGCUCAUCAGCGUUGGCCCAAUAAGCCUCCCAUUUCAGGGGUAAGAUCGGGUGGAUAGCUGGGAACAUAGGGUACAAGAUGGAAUUCACUCCUACCCGCUUUAGGGUUAGUAGAUAGGUUGCUCUCUUAAGCACUGAAUCCAAGUCUUGAACAAGGGGCCCCACCCUCUCAUUGGCCCGAGAGGGAUUAAGUUUAUAGGUUGAACCUUAAACCAAUUGUUCAAUAGUGGAUUAGUGGGACUUAAGGAGCAAGAUGUAAUCCUGGGGGUAAAACGGUAUUUUGACCCAGCCAAGGUUACGAGCAACCUGUGAAGGAUUAACUUACUGAUUAUGGUUUUAUCAAAUGGACACAAAUAUAUCUAUAGUGAGGGGAGUGCAACUACGGGACUUUAGUGGAAUGACCCGUUAGUUAACGAAUGUUGAUUAACUCGGUUUAAAAGAGUUUAGCUAGUUAAUCUUGAAUCGUUGGAGCCCAUGAUCUAUAGGUCCAUUAGGUUCCUCUGCUAGCUCAUAUGGAUUAAACUUAGAACAGUGUGAUGAAAUAAGUCGAAUUGUUCGAAUAGGGAGAAGAAAGGAAAACCGACAUAUACAGUGAUAUAAUCGUCGGUCUUCUAAUUAGAAAUAGAGCUUUAUGUUUUACAUACUAUAAGUAUGAAUGCGGAUUCAUACUAAGAAGCUCGGAAUUGGUCAAAAAUAGUAAAAAGUCAAAAUGUUGACUUUUGACUUUGAAAAGUCAAACUUUGACCGGCCUUAUAUUCAAAUGUGAUUUGAAUUUUGGAAAAAUGAAUGCGGAUUCAUGCUCGGGAGGUUGGAAUUAGUCAAGACGGACAAAAUGGUAAAAAGUCAAAAUAUUGACUUUUGACUUAGAAAAGUCAAAGUUUGACUUUUGACUAGAAAAAUCUAAUGACCAUUUUACCCUUGGACUAAGUUAGUGGGAAAAUCCAACAUUUUGUUGGAUAAUCCCACUAACUCUUAGUGGGAUAUGUGGCUAUAUGAGAUAUAGACACCUAGCCCACUAAGUUCCACUAAUUGUUAGUGGAAUAUUAGGUGUUGAGAUUUGGCAAUUGAAUUGCAUGCAUUUUUGCAUGUAAUUAGGCUAUAAAUAGAGAUGUUUUCAAAUGUUGAAGGACUUUUGCCUCUUUUAUCAUUUUCAUAAUCUCAACAAAAGAAAAAAAAAAAAGCUUCCAAUCUCAUUUUAUCUCCACUACUUUCUACACCAAAAUUGGGUCCCACAACCCGGUUCUUUGUCUAGAGGAUAGCAGUUGAGUACUAGUGGUGGUCUCGGGUAGAAUUGGUAAGAAGACAUCAAACCUUUUGAAAGCUUCAAAGGUAAUACUUCUUAAAACCCUAAUUUGAUUAGUUUAUGGUUACAUGUUAAUUGUGGCAAUUAGGGUAGAAAUUCGAUUCUUUUUCCGCUGUGCAUGACUUAGUUCUAUCAAAUUUCAUAUUGAACUUUAAUCUCUUUCGAACUUUAUAGUCUUUUUCUUCCUUCACUUUCAAUUUUAGUAUGAUCUAUUAGAUCGUUAAAAUUUCAAAGUUUAACUUAAUAAAAUUGUUAAAUGAUAUAUAACAUUCAAUUUACGAAUAUGUUAACUUAAACUUUUAAGUCAAUUUAUGAUUAACAAGUUCUCAUUUCUCAUUGAUGAUUGAUCAUAUUUCUAAAUAAAAUGUACAAUUGUGUCGUGAUCUUAUUAUUUUAGAUAUUCUUCUCAUUGGUGUGGAGAUUCGCUUAGAAUAAGAGAUAUAUAGGGUGUGUUUGGUUGAGAUUCUAAAGUGAUUAAUUUUGCCAAAAAAACUAUUUUGAAAAAAAUGGUAGUGUUUGGCAAAUUAAAAUAAUGUAUUUUUUAAAAAUUCAUUUAUAAAAUAAUGUAUUUUAAAGAAAUCUUUAAAAACCAAAAUCAUAUAUAAACAAUUAUAAAAAAAAUCUAACCAAACAUUAAAUGUUUAAAUUUUAAACUCAUUUUCGAAAAAGUAUUUAAAAUGAAAUGUAUUAUUGAAAAACAUUAUGUUUUUAAUUCAAUCAAAACGGACCCUUAAUCCAUAAUCAACACAACACUUCAUUGAAUCUUCUUUCCAACAAAAUAAAUAACAAAAAUUUGUAAGUUUUUGUCUUAAAUAAUUAACUUUUUAUUAUUAUUAUAAUCCUUUCCAAUUAUUUCUUUACUGAAUCUCUGAAAAUGCAACAAAACAAGAAAAAAACAUAUAUUUUUGGAAUUAACAAAUUGAACUACAAAUGAAAAAAAAUAAAUAAUACAAUUUCUCUAUGAAUUGAAUUUACUGUAAUAAUUUCAAAAACAUAUUUUACAUGAAGAAAAAAAAUAAUAUAAUUUAUUCUGUGUAUUUGAUUUAAUGUAAAAAAUUUCACUUUUGUAGUUGCUAACAAAAAAUAUUUAUACAAAAUGAACAAAAAGAAUUAAUGUAAAAUUUGGGUGUAUUUGAAUUAGGGUAUAACUAAAGAAAAUGAACUUGUGAUAGGAACAACAACAAAAUUCUACACAAAUGCAAAAAAUGUUCACAUUUUACAUUUUAUAUUGAAUUCAUAAAAAAAGAAAAAACAAGAAUUUCAUUUUUUAUUUUCACAAUUAUUUUGGUACACUUUUUUUACACAAAUGAAAAAAAAAAUACAAUCUUUUUAUCGUAAUCCUUCUUCCAAAUAAAUAUUAUAAAUAAUUCUCCAUAAUCUUCUCACAAACAAUAAUUAUAAUAAUAAUUUCCUUUUCAUAAACCCUCUCUUUAUUCCUUUCCUCCCAUCUUCCUUUCCUUUUCUCCCCCAAAAUAUUCUUCUAAAAGAGGAUUCUCAAAGAAUAUGUUUUCCGCCACGUCGGUUCCAUUCUCAGCCACCCUUCUUCUUCGCCACGUGUGCUUGAUUCGUUGGGCCUCCCUAAGGGCCCAAAUGUGUAGUCCGCCUCGACAGUAAGCCCAGAAUGAUGAAUCAAAAUCACAGUUUAUAUAAAAAUUGAAUUGAGAAAAUUAAUUAAUUGAAAAUCAUUAACAAUACUUACAAAAUAAAUCAUGGAAUUUAGGAGAGAUGAAUCUAUUCUGUUUUUCUAUACGGAAAUGAAUCAAUUUACUCUUGCCUAAUACCAAAUAUUGUGUGCAUUUUUAUUGGUUCCCCAUUCCAAAUUAUUCCAAAUUCAUUCCCUUUUUAAAAUCACUCCUUUACAUUUUUUAAAUAAGGAGAAAAUAUCUUUUCUUUUGAUUCACUUUAAAACCUCAAAUUUUCACUCACUUUUGUCUUUAGCUGCUGUUUAUUAAUUUUGUUUCACUACUUAAAUAAUAAAUGAUAAAUCUUACUUCGUAAUUAUUUUUAAAUAAUUAAUAGACACUAAUAGUAAUGAUUAAAAGUGAAAAUAAUAAUAAAUAAAAUAAACAAGGUUAAAAAAUAAAAUAACCAAGGUUUAAAAUGUAAUGAAAAAUUAAACAAAUAAAAUAACCAAAGUUAAAACGUAAAUCAUGGAGUCAAAUCGAUCAAAUUGAAACGAUACUGUAAAUUUGAAAAUUAAUCUCAAAACUUAAAAAAAAAAAGACUAAAUGUGUAAUAUUUUUUAAAUCAAAGGACCAAGCCUAACCCCAAACAUUUGCCAAAAUCAAGGAAGCACUUUCCUUUUUUUCUUAGAAAAAUGGUGUCAUUAGUUGAUACAAAUUUCAUUAAAAUUGUCUGGAAAAAUAAACAAAAAGAAUUUGAAUAUUCAGGAACCAUAGAAAUGUUUCAAAGUUUUGCAAGGAUGCAGUGAAAACAUCAGGCAUCAACUAAAGCUUAACUUGAAUCAAUGCAAGAAGUACACGUACUAACAUAAAUAUAUAACUAUAUAUAUACACACAUGCCCAUACCCUUACCUUGUGUUAUAUUAGAAUGAUGUCAAUAUAAUGAUAUUCCAAGUUGUCUGCUCUCUGUCCAUCAUCAGCCUUCUGACCUUUAGAGUUACCAACUCAAGAACUUGGAGAAUCAAACCUCCAAGCCAAUUCAAAGAAUCUAAUGCUGUGGGUCAGGUUUAUACUUUAUUAAAGUCAACUCUCGUAAGAAUCGAUUCAAAAAAGGUUCUAGAACUAGAUGGUCAAGACCAUGGCAAUGGAGGCAACAAACAGGGAAGAAGAUUUGGGGUCGAUGCAAAAAUGACCAAAAUGAAGAAGAGAAGGGGCUGAUGAGGAUGAAGGCGAUGAACGGCUACCAAAGAAAAGGAAGAGAAACCUGCGUAACAAAAGUUCUUCCACUGCAAAUUCUGAACUUGGAGCACAGAAGAAUAUUAUAUAUUCAUAGCCUAGAAAAUUAGCAUAAUAAUAGUACAAAAUAAUAGGCAUCUUAUCAUCACUCUUCUGAAUAUUUUAAGCACUGGACUCAGCUGAGAAGUUUGGUUAGUCCUAAAUAUUCAACCAAUGUCUUAAAAGGACUUCAAUUAACUCUAUCACUUCCAAGAGGACUUCACAAAAAUAGUAA